GGAUGUCAACCGACGGGUUUUAAAAAUCCAAAUUCGAACAUGACUAUCAAAUCUGAAGUCCGAACCCGAAUCCGAAUACGAACCCGAUGGAUUUUAAAAAUUUAUAUCCAAACCCGAACCCGAGCAAAAAUUCGAAACCCCAACCCAAGCAAAAAUUCGAAAUCCGAACCCGAACUCAAAAACUCGAAUCCGAAUCCGGAACAAAUCUGAACGCAACCAAAAACCCGAAACCCGAUUCUAAACCAGAAAACCCGAACCCGAAAAUAAUAUUUACCAAAUUUCAAAAUAUAUUAUACAAAAAAACUAAAGUUUAAAAAUACAUAUUCAAAUACAAUAUUAAAUAUUCAUACCAUAAGAGAAAAAUAAAAGUUUAAAAAAAUACAUAGAUCUAAAAAAUUAACUCAUAAGAACUAAAGGACUAAAAUUAAAAAUGCUAAUUAAGAAAAAAAAAACAAAUUUUUUUAAAAAUUUAGAAAAGAAAGAAUAGUUCCAUAGCCCAACAACCCAUAAGCACCAAGAGAUUACUAAUUAAAAGAAAAAUAAAAUAAAAUUUUCUAAAAGUUUUUUUAAAAAAUAGUUUCAUUGUCCAAAAAUCCAUAAGAUUAAGAGACUAAAGUUAAAAUUACUAAUUAAGAGAAAAAUAAAACAAAAAGAUUUUUAAAAAACUAAAAAAGAUUCAUUACCCAACACCUCACAAGAUCUAAGAGAGUAAAGUUAAAAAUACUAAUUAAGAGAAAAACAAAACAAAUUUUUUAAAAAAAUUUUAAAAAAAAGAUAACUUCAUUACCCAACAAUUCACAAGAACUAAAAAACUAAACUUAAAAAAUAAGAAAAAAGACAUAUAGAUAAGAAGAAUAAAAAAAAGCUACAUAAAAAAAACAACCUUCAUUCUCAAAUUAUUUUUAAAAAAUCCUCACCUUUUUUUCUCAUAGGUUUGGAGGAAGAAAGAAGCGAGAAACCCUCUUGACUUCUUGAAGAGGAAUUAAUAGGAGACUACAAUGUUUUAACUCCUAGGGUUUCGGCACAACUUGGGACGGCUUUGAAAUUUGAACAUUAAAGUUUAGGUUAUAAACAUAUAUGUAUUUUGGUUUGGGUUAUAAAAGUGUUAAGUAUUUUUUUAGCCCUUAAAUUCAAAUCUAAUGGUUUGAAUUUUUUUAUAUAUUAUAUCAUAUUAAAUUUGUUCUUAUUCUGAUUUGAGUUCGAGUUUUUUAAAAAUAUCUAAAUUCGAACCCAAAUUCGUCAGAUUUUUUUUAAUAUUUAUUUUCGAAUUGAUAUCCAUUUACAUUAGGUAAAAUCAACUACAUUCUGGUUUGGAUUAGAAUUAAAUUCGGAUAUCGGUAUCCAUUUACAUCCCUACACCGUGCUCACCUACUAAGAGAUAAAGCAGUAAAACAGUAUUUCACUGUUUAUGUCAAGAGGCAUUUGAAUCACAUUAUCUAAAAUUCAUAGAUAUUAAAAAAAAAAACAGAAAUUUCGUUCAUAGUAAUAAAAAAAUUAAAAAUAUUAUAAUUCCUCCGACAUUUAAUUCGCGCAAUUAUUAUUGAAGAUUAUAAAGAUUGUAAAAUUUUAUAAUAGACUGAUCCUAUGAAGAUUAUGAGUUUUGCUGCCACAACCAACUUAAAGAUUCGAAACAUCAGACCAUCACACUUUAUAUGGAGCCAAAUUUAGAUAUAAAAGUAGCAGAAACAUUAGAAAAAAGCAAAAAUCACGAGUAAAUGAGUCCUUAGACAGACUUCAGCAUAAGUUAUAACAUAAGCUUAUACGGCCUCCUACGUACUACAAGUUCCGUCGUAAGUUAUAACACAAGCAUAGUAGAACAUCAGUGGAAUAGCGGAAACCUCCACAGACCAGCAAGGCUAAAAUCUACUUAACAGCAACAGCACCAUCCGGACCAAUAUUUUGGAGUGGCUGCCUGCAUAGCAGACAGAGUUUCUUCUUCUGGAUCUCUUGCCCGCUGGUAGCACCCACCUCAACUGAUGGAAACUCUGUCGAUUUGCCAAGCUGAUGGAAAAAAAGGUUAGAAAUUGAAAAAACACUGCAUUGUUGAGAGAAAGAGAACGGAUCCGCUUGCUCACCUCAUUUGCCCUGGCCUCAUUUGCCCUGCUUCUCGCUGUCCUCCCGCAAUAAUUUCCAACUAUCUCCUCAUGCGUCAUGUCGAAAAACUGGUUUAGCCCAACCCGGCAACGUGGUCCCUUAACCAUUCGCUUCUUUGCACGGAACUUGUUUAUAAAGUCAAUUCUUUUGCAAAAGAUUGCAAAUCGUCGCUCCUUCUCUGCAGCAUCCGGAUACGUGCGUUUCUACUUUCUGAUACAUAGCUCAAACCUCCCACGCCUCACCAUUUCUGUCGCCCAAGAGACGGCCUUGCCGGUGAGUCCAUUGGCAAAGGUAUUCAUGCUGCUGCUGAGAUGGAAAAUAAUUGUUUGUUUCGGUAGAUCGAAAAUAGAGACUCCAAGGAGAAAAAGAAAUCCAAUAGACACAUAGUAUGAGGAAAUCAAUAGAAUUCGAAUGAAAAGUACUCGGGCAGUAUUCAUUUAGAAAUGAAAUCUUUUUAUUUCUAAAAACUUGUUGAGAAAUACUCCAAAAUCUUUCAGAAUUAUUUACUUAAAAUUGCAUUAACUAGUAGAAUCAAACAAUAGGUAAACAAGAUCUGCAAUCUCUAUAAUUCUAGAAUUUGCAGCAGCCGGAUAGGACAUAAAGAAGAUAAAGUCGAAUGUGAUAACCCUAAAGAGGAAAAUAUGAUUCAACACAUCUGACUUGCAUCUGACUUGCAUCAGGUGUACGACAAAAGCAGACGCAUAAAAAUUAGGUCAGAAAAUGAAACUAAUCACAAACAUGUCAAAUUAAAGUUGAGAAAACACGUAAAUGUUUUCCGGACAAAAGAUAACCAUCAGAGACCCUAAUAAAAUAACAGAACCCUUAUGUCCUAUGUAUUAUGUAUCCAAAUGCCAUAGAAACAUAGAUCACAUCAAUCGUACGACUCCAAAAUGCUUGGUCAAAACAAAAAAACGAAUGCAUAGAGAUAAAAAAGAAGUAAACUCUGGUUUGUGUUAGCAAAUCGGUUUAGACCAAAUAGCGAACGAAAAGAUAUGGGAGUCUAUUUAAAGGGGAAAAAAAAUAUGAUUAAUUAAUUAUUAAUCGAGAGAACAAUUAAUAGCGAACUAUUCAAGAUACAUUGGAGCGUCUUCAAUAACAUUCACCCGAUAUAAAAAUAAAAUAAAAUCCCAAUAUAAUAAUAUAAGAUAAGCCCGAAGACUUCAUCUUCUCUAAAAUUAAAGAACAACAACGAGAGCCAUUAUCAAAGCCCAUCAGAGGGAACGCUUUGUUAGUUGGAUCACAAACUCAGAUCGAUAGAUGGUAAUAUUAGCAAAUAAACUACAAAUCCGUCCUUCGUAAGAGGAGCAAAUCAAAAUAAUUGAUGGUUCGUUUGGACGGAGAGAUUAAAAAAAAAAAAAAAAAAGAUUAGUCCAUUUCCAAAACCUUUUUAAAGAAUGGGUUCAUUCGAAUACCUUAAUAAGAGAGGGAGAUCGGUAGCAAGAAGGCAAAGAGGCGAAAAGGUUCAAAGAAAGGAGCAACGAAGCGAUCGGGGUUUAAUGAAGGAAAAACUUCAAAAGGCCCCCUGUGGUUCCUCUCUUUUUUAUUUAGUACUUUAUGGUUUAAAGUGUAUCAAAUUAGUACCAUGUGGUUUCUCAUUUUAUCACUUUAGUAUCCUGUGGUUAAAAUUUAUCAAGUUAGUACUCUGUAUUUUUACUUUUGUAUCAAGUUAGUACCAUGUGGUUUAAAAGGUUUUAAAUCAUAUGGUACUAAAAUGAUAAGGUACGAAACUACAGCGUACUAACUUGAUACAUUUUAAACCACAGGAUAUUAAAGUAAAAAAUGCAAAACCAUAAAGUACUAACUUGAUACACUUUAAACCCCAGGGUCCUAAGAUGAGAAAAAAUAAAACCACAAUAGAGUUAUUUGAAGUUUUUCUUUAAUGAAAGGAAAAUGCUAAAUUAGACUUUUUGUCCCGAAACUAUUGGGUAUACUACUUUUGGUCUUCAAAAUUUUAAUUCACGAUCACUUUUUGCAGGAACUUUUUAAAUUAUUAAAAUUAAGUAGCAUAAUUUUUCUUAAAACAUAUAAUUUGACUAGCAUAGCUUUAAUUUAAUUGACUAAUAAGGUGAGGUAUUAAUUAUUAUCUUAUCUUCAAUCACAAAAAUAUUACAUCAAUUUUGCAUCAGCAUAAUAUAAGCAUGAUUUUAAAAAAAAUAGAAUUAAUUUCAUCACGAUCCUUCCAUCCGCCCUAGUAACAUAGCAACCUUCCAAAAAAUGUCAAUAUCAAAAAUAAAAAAUGCCCUUUAAAUUAUAAAAUUAUUAAAACCAUUCAUAGUACUCAUAUUCUAUUAAAAAUAUAGUUUAAAUAUCUAUUUUACUCCUCUCACACUUACAAAUAUUGUAAUACAUAAUUUAUGAUUAAGAUAGUAUGUAUUUAUUAUUUGUAUUUUUCUAGUUUAAUUUAAUUAUUUUAAUAUAUCUUUAUUUUGACUAAUAUAGUAUGUCUUUAUCUUGUUUUUUUUAAUUAGUAUAUAUUCAUUUUAUUUGUUUAAUUACGAAUGGAAGAAUUAUAUUUCUUUUAAUUUAGUAUACUUUUUUACUUCAGAUUUUAUACUUAGCUAAGCUCAAAAUUAUAUUAAAUUUAAUAAUUUAUUAGUAAUCAACUGUUAAUAACUCUAGGUUUAUUUGCAUAAAAUUAAUUAAUUAAAAUUAUUAAAUGAGAUAAAAUUUUAAUGAAUUUGAUAAAAUUAUUAAAUGAGAUAAAAUUUUAAUGAAUUAAUUAAAAUUAUUAAAUGAGAUAAAAUUUUAAUUUUGACAUAUCUCUUAUGCAAAUAUAGAGGUUAUUAUUUCAUACACUCGUAUACCAGGUGCAAGCAAUAGUUUCCUAGAGAGGAUGGAAAAGCAUAGAGAAAGGAGAAAUUAUUGCUUGCACCUAUUUGGUUUCAUGCAAUUUUAAUUUCCCUACAAUUGCUAAUGCACGACUCAAUUUUUGUAUCUGGUUUAGUGGAGUUGAGUGGAGCUAUGAAGUUAUAUUGUAUUGUAACAUUACUUAGUAUCUUUUUUCUGUUAGUUAGGGGAGUCCUCAAGCUACAUUUUAGACCUUCCAAGUAUGCAGUUGAUAAUACUUUGCUAAUUUGAUCGUUUCCUAAUAUUAGUCUAAUAAAAUUUUAUGAAUGAUUUUCUUUAGCACCGGUUAUAGUUUCAUUUUAGACAUUUUUUUAGCUGUUUUUAAAUUUAAAUUUUCUACUUUUUUAAAAUUUACUGCUUCUUUUAUCACUUCUCAUUAUAAUGCAGUACCUUCUAACAAGAAUCAAGGUANAAUCAACUGUUAAUAACUGUAGGUUUAUUUGCAUAAAAUUAAUUAAUUAAAAUUAUUAAAUGAGAUAAAAUUUUAAUUUUGACAUAUCUCUUAUGCAAAUAUAGAGGUUAUUAUUUCAUACACUCGUAUACCAGGUGCAAGCAAUAGUUUCCUAGAGAGGAUGGAAAAGUAUAGAGAAAGAGAAAGGAGAAAUUAUUACUUGCACCUAUUUGGUUUCAUGCAAUUUUAAUUUCCCUACAAUUGCAAAUGCACGACUCAAUUUUUGUAUCUGGUUUAGUGCAGUUGAGUGGAGCUAUGAAGUUAUAUUGUAUUGUAACAUUACUUGGUAUCUUUUUUCUGUUUUUUCUGUUAGUUAGGGGAGUCCUCAAGCUACAUUUUAGACCUUCCAAGUAUGCAGUUGAUAAUACUUUGCUAAUUAGAUCGUUUCCUAAUAUUAGUCUAAUAAAAUCUUAUGAAUGAUUUUCUUUAGCAUCGCUUGUAGUUUCAUUUUAGACAUUUUUUUAGCUGUUUUCAAAUUUAAAAUUUCUACUUUUUUAAAAUUUACUGCUUCUUUUAUAACUCUCAUUAUAAUGCAGUACCUUCUAACAAGAAUUAAGGUAAAAGAAAAAUAAAUGGUUACAAAUCAAUUAAAAACAUAAAGCGGUUAGUUAUUUUGUAUCAGUUCAAACUGGAGGGUUUAAUUGCAAAAUUCGGAAAUCAAUCACAAGGAAGCGAAAUAAAAUUGGGCCUGUUUGUCAAAAUUUCAUAACGUUGGGCUUGUCCAAGAUAGUAAGUUGAAUUGGACCCAAAUAGGAGAGAGUGAGCCCCACAAGGUGGUUCCCACCCCCAUCAUGUCACUUUGUCUGUUAUUGACCCAACACGUCACUGAAACCCCUAUUGGACAAAAUAAAUCUAUCCGUCAACCCUAUCCUUUCGGGCCCACUAAUCCUACGAUCCCGGUGUCACCAUCAGUCCCCUCUACUUGAAUCAUAGCCGUCCAUCAACCGACCACUCAUCAAAAACUGAAGCAAAAACAACCCCCCAUUAUUAUUGUUAUUAUUAUAAUGGAACGUUUGUUUAUUUUGGACUCGCACAGACUUGUAGUCAAAAUAGAGAUUUAAAAUAUAAUUAAAUUCAAUGAAAAUUUUGACGAAUUUACCUAGUUUAGGUAAAAGAAAAUAUAAAACAUAUUUGAAGUAUGACCGGUUUAAAUUAACUGUAAAAUUUUUUAAAGUUACUUUUACUGUCUAAUAUUUUAGUUUGUUUGAAUUGAUUCAACUAAACGAUCUUUGAGUUUAAAAUUUAAGCUAAUUACUUUUUAUCUUAAAAAUUUAUAGUUUAAGAAUCGCGUGAAGUAUAUAAAGUAAAUUCUAUAAAAAAUAAAAAUUACACAUAAAUUUUAAAAUUAAAAUAAUAUUUAUAAUUCAAAUUAAACAAAUUAAAAAAUUGAAUAGUGCAUCAAAAUGUUGAAAAAAUCAAGUUAUGGACGUGUUUGUAAAUUUCUGCAAAGUCGGGCGGUGGCAGCACAUAUUUUGCACCAAACGCGAAGUAAGGGUGUAAAAGAGAUUUUGGGUGGGGGUUUGACUUUGGUGGGAGGAGUUUGGGGGGUUCGGUCACCUCCCCUUCUCCACGCCUGGCCGACCGACACGUGGCGGUGGCUCGGGAGGCGAAUUCUCUGGCGGGUGAUCGGUUUCUGUCCCCUCGCGCAGUUAAAGUCCCGCAUUUACCCCGUACGGUAAAACCCAGUAAUUAAUUACCCCAGUAAUGGCGCGUCGAGGAGAGAGAAAGCGAAAGAGAAAGAGCAAGUCUCCCCAAAGAAAUAGUGUUAGAGAGAGAGAGAGAGGGAGAGAGGGAGAGAAAUAGAACGCUCCUCUCUCUCUUCUAGUCCAUGGGACUAGUGUCUUCUUGAGUUGGGUGUGAGUGUGAGAGAGAAGCGAUUGCAAAGGAGGAGGAGAAGAAGAAGAGCGAGUUCUCUUUCUCUCCCAUAUUUUCUCUCAAUACUACCAACCCCACCCACAGUGGUACGCUAUUAUUUUCUCACGAUUGUUUUUUGAAUUUUUUUAAAAAAUUUUAUCUGAUGAUCGAUUUGCUCAUCUGAUUUUUAGUACACGGUAAAAAUGUAUGGGGAUUGCCAAGUGAUGUCGUCGAUGGUGGGAGGAGGCGGGGGAGGGAACGUGGUGUCCCCCGACUCCCUCUUCUCCUCGCCGAUCCGAAACCCUAGCUUGGGUUUUAUGACCAAUAUGCCCUUCCACGCCUUCUCCGCUGCUCUAGUACCUGUGAGUACGCGAUCCCUCCGUAUCUCUCCCUAUCCCCUCCCCUUCCUAUUUUUAGUAAGCGUUUUCCUUUUUCCGGCACUAAAAAUCUUAAGCGCGAGAUGUGAUGGUGCCCGUCCCUGUUCGUUUUCGUUUUUUUUUUUUUUUGUUUUGUUGUGGGGGGGCGAAGAAGGAGGAGGGGGUGAUGGUGAUGGGGAGGGGCGGAGCGGCGAAGGAGGAGGAGGUCGAGAGCGGCGGCUCCGGUAGCGGACACUUGGACGGCCUCGGAUCCGGCAGCGGACACGUGGACGGCCUCAGUUGCGGGGAGGAGCACGAUAACGAACACCAGAAGCUGCAGCAGCAGCACCAGCAGCAGCAGCAGCAAACGCCGUCGGGGAGUGCGAAGAAGAAGCGUUACCACCGCCACACCGCGCACCAGAUUCAAGAAAUGGAAACGUGAGAUUAUCAUCACAGUACUCCUGUUCCAUACUAUUAAUAUUUUAAAACAAGAAAAAAAAAUGAUUUUCGUUAUAUUUGUAUUUAACAAAAAUAAAUAAAUGUAAUCGAGUUCGAGAGGUAUUUUUGUUUAAUAAUAAUAAUAAUUUUGUUAAUAAAAUAAUUAAUCAGGUUGUUUAAGGAAUGUCCGCACCCGGACGACAAGCAGCGGCUGAAGCUGAGCCAGGAACUCGGCCUGAAACCCCGUCAAGUCAAAUUCUGGUUCCAGAACCGCCGCACCCAGAUGAAGGUGCGCACGUUAGCCCUACCUCUCCUGCCUUCUCUACUAUGCACACUCCCAUUGUAUCAACCAAAAAAAAUCAAAAAAAAAAAAAGAAGGUAAAAAUAUUUUGAUGCUGCUGUGGUGUUGUUGGACGGAUUAGGCGCAACAAGAUCGGGCGGACAACGUAGUACUGCGGGCGGAGAAUGACAGCUUGAAGAACGAGAAUUUUCGCUUNCCAAUUCUUAUAUACCAUGCAUGUAUGCAUGGCCACGUGGAAUGCAUGCAGGCGUCAAGCAACUCGUCGCAGAACGUGGAACUCCUGCUGCAAGAGAGCAACACCCACCCCUCCGGCGGCAGCCUUGUGGUGUACGCCACCGUCGACGUCGGUGCCGUCCAGGUUGCGAUGAGCGGCGAGGACCCCUCCUACAUCCCCCUCCUCCCCAUGGGCUUCGUCCUCUCCCCAUCUCCUCCGCCGCCAUCGCGAACCUCCUCCGCCACCCCCGAAGGUGAUGGCAGCGGUGCUUCCGCCGCCACCGCUGCUGCUGUUGCCCCGGGAUGCCUCCUAACUAUCAGCAUGCAGGUGCUGGCGAGUGCAGUCCCAUCAGCGAAACUGAACCUCUCGAGUGUGACAGCCGUCAACCACCACCUCUGCAAUGCAGUUCGCCAGAUUAGCGCCGCCCUCGGCGGGCCGCCUCAGCCAGAACCGGCCGGGACGGCGGCGCCGCCUGACCCGUGAGGGGAAGCAGAAAGGUGGUGGAGUUAACUGCUAUACUGCCUGGUGCAAUCCGUCUAUACCGAUCGAUAUUCCCAAAAUGCCCCCCCAACACCUCUGCUUUUCACAUAUAUAUUAUAAUUGUUGAGUAUUUAGUAACUAAAAUCUCUAGAUUAUUUUUUGUACAGGAGCAAGAGAGAAUUUGACAAGGGCCCAUGCAGAGCCGCAAAAUGACCAAAAUACCCUUAUCGAGUCAGGGGCAUUUUGGUUAUCUUAUAUUUUGUGUACGCGUGUAUAGUCCAUGGGCGUUGUCAAGUUUUCACUUGCUCCGAGCUUUUACUCUAUUUGCAAUUCAUAAUCAAAUUUGCGAAGGGCAUUUUGGUCAUGUUGGUGCGGCAUUGAUGGGAUCCGGGCAAUCUCCACCUACCCACUGCCAUCUAAGAUAUGCUUCCCAGUGAAUUAAACAUGUUGAAGGCCGGCUGGCUAGUUAUUAAUAUAUGUAAUAAGAUCAAGAGCGAUGAAUUAAUUGUGUUGUGUUGUGUAGUGUGAUGUAGUGGUUGGGGGAAUGUUGUGAAAUUAGGGUUUGUUGGAGGAGGGGAGUCAAGAGCGCACCAGGUGUGACCCUGAAUGCUCUCCCCCUUUUUUAAGGCCCAAAAUUUGAAAAGAGGAAGCCCAAAAUGGCUUCUGGGCCUUAAAAAAAAAGCGGGGAGUGGGAAAGGAGAAGGGUGUUGGUUCGGGUAUUGACUUCCUUCUUGCGUUACUUUAAACAUGUUGUUGGUCUCCUUUGUUGUUUUGCAUAAUUUUAUUAGCUUAAUUUGGCGUGUUUGUGUACGUAAUGUAACUCUUCGUUUUAGCUUGGUCUCCUUUUGGGAGCGCGCGCGCGCCUUUUUGUUCGCAGCGGGGUUGGUUGGGUGGAGUUAAUGCUUUUUAUGACCGUAUUUAUGACUUUGAGCUUUUAAUGUCCAAUCCUCCUUUUUAUGUUCGUUUCUACUUUCAUGCAGGGGCGUCGAAUUGGCCGAGCCAUGUUCUGUAAUUGAUGGUUUGGGUCCUUGGAAGUACCACCUCCACUGUUGUCAUUUUCCGAAAUCUUGAAAGUAUAUUAAAUUUUCUUCUUGACAGUGCUAGGCGAAUGUGAAUGAGAUUUUUUUAAAACUGAAUUUUCCGAACCCCAGGUGACUGAGCGACUCCAGGUAGAAUAUGUAACUCGUGAAUUUUAUGAAGCUAUUUGGAAUGAUAAAUAUCUCAUCAAAGACUAUGAUAAAUAUGAGCUGAAGUUAUGUAACAAUUUUUUUUUUUUUUUAUUAUCGUAUUUUCAUACAGUAUGAAAAAUUUCGUUUGAAUAUUAUUAUUUCUGCUGGACGAUAGUUUUCUCAUCAAAAUGAAGGUCAAAUCCCUCCCCUUGAUUCGGCUGGCUGGAUAAUAUAGAGAGAUUAAGGAACCCUCCCUCCUCCCAUGCUUAGGCUAUCCGAUCCACCGUUCGUCAUUAGUGCUCUAAUGUUAAAUCAUCUUGAGUGGUGAAUUAGACCAGUGCUGCUAAGGCUUAGUUUGGUAUUAAGGCCUAUGUAACGCUAUUAGAUAAAAUGAAAUUGUUGAAAAAGCAUAUAGGGAUAUGUUAUUGCGUUCUCCGGUGGGACUGCACCCCUGCGGAACGGAAUAUUACGUAUGGAAACAAACAGUAUAUUUUUUCAACGUACUUUCUCACCGAACUAACGCAAUCUCUCCGCAAUCCCAAACGAAGCCUAAGCUAGGGUCAGAGUCACAUCUGGGCCCUUUCUAUAUUUUGGGCCAGGUUGGGCCUGAUCUGAUCCACUGUACAUUGUCUGAAAGAACGAGCGGCCCAAAACCAUGAUAGUCCGAUGGGCCCAGACCAUUUGUUGGUGCUAUGUGGGACUCGGGCUUUUGGAUCUAGGACGGCAACAACUUGUCCUAGAUGGGCCCCCGAUUGACGCAACAGCCUAAUUGUAGACGGCCUACUAAAUGGAUAUGCUCGCCCGAAACAUAUGAGUACGCUGUUAAAAUCAAAGGUUAAUUUGAUUUCUAGAGGUCUUUUACUCGCAGUGUGAUUUUGCAAUACAUAUAACGAUAUCAUUGAACUGGUCAUGUACAAAUGCUGAAAACGGCAAAAGCAAGCUCAUGGAAAUUGGAAAACCAACUUGGAAAGAUGACACCAUUAUAUCACUGUACAUUAUCCGGACAUUAAAAUAUAGGCCUGGAAAGAUUAUUAAACAGCUAGUUAAGGUCAGUGCAAGCUAAUCAACAAUAAUAACAACACAAAAAAAAAAAAAAUAAAAUAAAAAACAGAAGCACUGCUCAACAUGUUUCUACUUCUCCGAUAGAGAAGUUACAUUAGGGAUGUGGCUUAGUAGAGCUUGAAAUAAUAAAUGAUACUGUAAAAACAUACUCCAAUCAAUCAAGCAGUAACUAUUAUAGAAAAUCUGAUAAACUAAGCAAUGCUGCAGAACACUUUUACAAUUUUUACUCGCAUUUUCUGUAUCAAAUGAUAAAUUAAAGUUUUUAUUUAACGAAGUUUGCGGAUUUUAACCUGUAACAAUUCCAAUCCAGUUUCACCACCCUAAAAUUGAAUUAUACACAGCUGAUCAAAGAAAGAGACGGAAAUGAAGCCUGACGCCUUCAGAAGACCGGGCAGCCAUCCACAAUGACCCCUUUGGCCGUGGGACACGUCGCGAGGUCGCAGUGCUCGCCGGCGGUCCCCCACCAGUUGAGGCUCUUGUUCUCCAUCGUCACCGCAAAGUAGAGCAGCACCCCCAUCAUCGCCACCCCCGCGUCCAGCCCUGCCGACAGGACGUAGUUAUACCUCUGCCACCACUUCUUCCGGUACCUGUACACGAAGAAGUUGAACACCGUCCCGACCGCCGCCCACGACGUGUAGUUUACUGCAGUAGCCGGCGGCAUAUUGGCAGUUGCACCAAGAAGCACGGGGAGGUUUAUCAGGGGGAUCCACGAUUGCGCGGGGAAGAUCCUGUGGAAGGCCCAGACGAUGACCGGGCCGACAGCACCGCCGAGGAAGAACCAAUUGAGCGCGCCGUAAUUGCCCAGCGGGCCGAAGAUGCGGCGCGGGCCCACCAGGCCCCAGAUGACGGACGCGUCGAAGAAGACGCGGUCGCUGGGGCACGUCCACGGGCUGUUUGGCGGGAGGAGGUCCCUCUGGCAGAUGUCGGUGAUCGAGCCCAGGAGCCACCAUGCCACGCCUAUGUUGAUUGUACCGGCGACCACCGUGCCGACGGCCUGAAUUAAGCGGCGGCGAGAGUUUAGCCAUUUUCAUCACACAAAUAAAAGUUAGAAUCGCAAACUACGCUUUUCAGUUACAUGCAUACAUGUACGUAGGCUAGCAGAAUCAGUUAAACAUAUUUGCAACUCGCAAGAAAUCGAUCUACUUGAAAACAGACAAUCAAUAUAGUAAAAUUUAAUGGUUAAGUUGUAGCGCCAGAAAGUGUACCGCAUUUUAAGUUGAUUGAUCAAGUAGGAUGAUUUGAGAAUACUACCUGAACUAGGAACAUGGAUUUGGGCGGGAUCUUCAUGUAAUGGCCGAGCUUGAAAUCGGAAAGGAAGGCGACGGCCUGCGCCAUGCUCAUGUAACCGUAGACCUUGAAGCACACGUUGGCGAUCGGCUUUCCCGGCAGGAUCAGACCCAUGCAGUAUUCUGUGAUAAUAUUCAGUCCCGGAGUCUUUGUUUUUCAUUCAGAAAAAGAAAGAAAAAAAAAAACAAAUCAGGAUGAUUAUCAUGUACCAAAUAAAUAAAUUUAUGUCUCUAAAAAUUGAAGUAUGAAAUGAAAUAGAUUAUUUGUACCUGGUUGGUAGUUGCAGUGAUGAUGCUGAUGGGGAGAGUGAACACAAAGGCCAUGGCGCAAGCAAAGAGGAGGCCCCACCAUGGAAGUUGAAUUUGGUCCUUCAACACAGUGCACAGAAUCAGGGAGAUCACAACUGUCACCAGCAGCAGUAAAUAGAACCACCAGCUGGGUAUGUCUUCAUACUUCCUCAUUAACCUCGUGUGGAUGUCCACUUUUCCUUUAUUAUACGAAGCUCGGUACCGAUUGUAUAUUUCUCUGGAAAAGUUUCGCUUUAGAUCGUGAGUGACAUAACUUACUCGAAUCUCUUAAAAAAGUAAAAUAGUUCUUGCUGAGGAAUAAGAGGAUUACAUCUUUGGGCCGAAUGAUUUUGCAAUUGCACUUUGUGACAAUCGCAUGUUUCUCUAAGAAAAUUGGUAUUUUUUGGGACCUAAAUCUCAGAAUUCAACUAAAAUGGCUCCGGCAAUCAAAAUGGUACUAGUUUGCACCGAUUUUACAUUGCAUUGCUCUAUUCUACGUGGAACAUAGCUUCCAAUGUGUGCGUACAUAGAGAGACAGAGCGGCAAUUUGGCAGAGUAACGUGAGAUAGGUACAGUCACAUAAAAUCAGAGCAUGUAGUAUAGUAGUAGGUUAUUACCUUCCAUAGAACAAAGCAACAUGAGUUAGCGUAGCCGCAAUGGUCGCGAAUCCGAGGCCGUAGGUUAUAGCAAAGAACAAACUCAGGUUUAUCCUCCCCUGCUUACCGUACGCAGUCAUGUCGAUCUCAAACUUGUUGUUGACGAUGGCGUUGAUAUCAUACGGCUGGCCAGCAGCCGUGAACAAAUCCGAGGAGAAAAUUGGGAAAGUCUUUGCAUUGUAGAGGUUGAACCCCCAGUAUGCCACCGGCAUGACUACGUAGAGGAUCAAGAGAUAGCCGACGAAGAUAUUGACGAUGGCGAAGAAGGGGGUGAUUAACGGGCUGAAGAGGUAGGAGGCGACGGUGCUCCAGUCGAGGGUGAAAGCACCGAUGCCGAGCCCGUUCAUGCCGGAGCCAAGCUGUUGCGCCGUUACGGACUUGGGCCAGGCCCAGCAGACCCACGAGAUGCUCGUAAUGGUCGGGAAGAGGUAGCCCGGAACGACGUACCACGAGAAGCUGCAGAUCAGAACGAUGACGAAGAAUUUGGCCCGAGACAUGCGGCGGUCUUCUUUCUCGUGUAAAGCCCUGCAGAUGAAGUGAUCAUCGUUAUCCAUAACAUAAUUUGUAUGUCAUGAGCAUUCCAGAAAUAAAGGAGGUCCGAAUUGUUCGUAUAUUUCCUCCGUUUUGUUUUAGGUAGAAUUGUUAGUAUUCACGCAGUUGGUAACUUGGUAUGAACAAUUGGAAAACAAAAAUAUGAAAAUAUUAGAGAAAAAAGAGAGAAACAAUAGAGAAUUUCUCUUAAAAAUAUAGAAAAUUUUCAAUGCAUGUGUUUAACUAUUAAGAUUCUUCCUCAGUGACCUUAGAAGUGUUUACCAAUGUUGUACCCAGAAUCUGUAGCAAAUUAAGGUAGAACGUAAAGAGGACUAUGGCUGGUGUGGCGGAAAAGUAAGUAAAUAAAUGCCUGUUAAAAGUGAAAAUUUAAAAAAUUUAAGACACCCAAAUAAAUUAGGUACGUAACAAGUCAAUUGUCAUAUGAUUAAGAUCUUUCGCCAGUAAAUUACUACAGAAGCAAAGUCAAACAUUUAUUUAGUACAUUGAAGAAUUAAAAGGUGCCAUCCAGAAAGUGACAGGGAAUUAAUGCUGAGUAGGGACAUUUAUACGUAGCAAAAUCCUCUCCUUAUAGGAGCCCUAUAAGAAUCUUCAAUCGAUGCAAAUGGUCCACAAAUUCCGGCGAAUGGACACAAUCAAGGAGGAGAGAAAAAAUGCAAAUUUUUUUGCAACACUGACUCUCAAAAUGCUUUAGCUAAUUUUAUGGAUUUGAAUUAUGUUUUGCUUUGUGAGGCCGCAAUGAGGCACUAAUCCUCCAAGGAAUUCAACAAAUCAUGACAAUGGAGAAACUAUUCCCAGUUUGAAAGGUCGAUGUAGCGCGUAGAUUCUAUAGAAAAGCCACAAUUAGGUGGCCCUUCUAAAGCAUUAAUUUCACACGUACCAUCUCCACGGGUUCUGGAGACUCAUAUUACAAGAAUUUUGUAACGCAGUUAUUACACAUGGAUGCAAGUUAAAUCAAACAACAACUAUGCAUCUUAAUCAAGGAGUAGAUAUGAACUGUACUCUCUUAAGCAGAAGAAGUAUAAUAAUUGUGAUAGCCAAAGAAAUGAAGAGAACGUACGUAAUGCUUUAAAAAGUUGCACGACAAAGCGAUGGCCGAACAAAAAGCUUUUUCCUUCUACGUUGUAAAGAUAGGAAGAGAAAUACUUUACAUAAAGUUUGGUGGAAAUAUACACAGCAACAAUUCUGAGUUGGAUAAACCAAACGUACAGCUUUUGUCACGUUGCUCAAAAAGCCAGCACAAUUCUUCUCGCGUUUUUUUUAAGUAAAAAAAGCGCAAAACUUUUAUCUGUGUCGAUGAUUUGUUUGUCGUGAAAAAAUCUAUAUACGGUGGGGGUUGUGCGGUUUGGUUUUCUUUUUUUUUUUUUGUUUUUUUUUGUUUCUCUCUCUCCUCUCUCUCUCUCUCUCUCUCACAGAGGUAGCGGGGUUAGGCUUUCAUUUUUCUAAUUUAAUCUAAUUUUUUCCCUCAAUUUUUCAUUAUAAAAUUUUUUUAUAUAAUUUAUAUUGUUUAUAUAUAAAUUUUAAUUUUAUAACUGAGCACUUAAAAGAUGAAAAAAAUUGAUGAAGUUGAACUUAACUACUUAUAUUAAUAAUUGAUAAUUACGAGAAUUAUAUAAAGUGUACUAAAUCUAUAAAGAUAAACGACGCAUUCAAAUUAAUCAAAUCAAACAAAUUGAAAGUUGGAUAGUAAAAAUAAAAUUUUGAAUCGAUUCAAAAUGAUCCAUGGUUUAGAAAAAUUUUAUAUGCUUUUAUGUUGAUUUUAGUUUCAAAUUUCAAAGUUAUAUUUAUAAUUUGAUGAGCAAUUAACUUUACCUUCAGAAUCUUCCGAAAUAUUUAAAAUGUGGUUGUUCGACUUUUAAUUUUUAAUAAUUAAGCUUUCUAAAUUUUAUUAAACAAUUUAAAAGAUUCUUUCCUUGAAUGAAGUUACUAAUUAAAUAAAAAUAAAAUUAAUUGGUGCUCCGCCCUUACUUCAUAUGGAAAAAAAAAAAUAAAAUACAAAAAGAAUAAAUUAUAUAUUUAGUUCAAACUAUAGGAUAUGUAACACUUAGCCUCCGUUUGGUUCGGGGUUAAGGAAAAAGUAGCUAUUCCAGGGAUAGAGUUAAGUUCAGAGUUAAAGUGGGGUUAAAAUUUUUUUGUGUUUGGUUGGGGGUUGGAGUUAGACUAGAAUAAUGAAAAAUAGUGUUUGGUUGGGUAGGUGGGAUAAAAAGAUAAUGAUUGAUAAAGAAGGAUAAUGAUUGGUUGGAGUAGGUGUGAUAAGAAAGAUAGUGGAUUAUUAUGAAUAAAAAAUAGUGUUUGGUUGGAGUUUGGUGGGGUUAAGUGGGGUUAGCUAAUCCGGGAUAAUUUAUUUGAGGUGAGGUUAGGUGGAGUUAGCUAACCCCACCUAUUUUUUGAAGUGUUUGGGGAUAAAAUAGGGGUUAAGGGGUUAUUCCAUCCCUUAACCCCCAACCAAACAAUGGCUUAGUUCUCAAAUCUGAAUGCAUUAUAAUUUUUGGUUCAAACUAUUAGAUUCAGCACUUUACUUCUCAAACUUCAAUUAAUUCUACUGAGCAAACGCUACGGCAGCAACAGAAGCAGCAACAACAAAAAGGGAAAAAUUAAGGAUAGCUUUGAGAGUUAACUAACCGGAAGAGCGAGACCUGCACGAGGUUACUCGGCCACCACAUGUGCGCCGGCUCCACCACGUACUUCCUCAUCAACCCGGCCCACCCGUAACCCAACACCUAAAAUCCAUAUCCCCACAAUCACAAUGCGCGCAUAUAAUUAAUUAAAUAAUAAUAACAAUAAUUAUAAUACUUAAUAUAUAUAAUUAAGGAGAAAACCAGGCAAUGGAGCGAGCGAGCACCUGUGUGGUGAUGAUGAGAAGCCAACCGGCGGCGAACGAGAUCUUGCGCUUGUAGAAGGCCCUGAUGAUGUCGAUGAUGCCGACGGCGUAGGCCGGGCCGUUGCCGAAGGCGUAGCCGGCGUUGGCGAAGAUGGAGAUGAGGACGUGCUCCUUCAUGUUGAAGGGCCCCGGAUUCAGCGAGAACUGCCGGUCGCCGAACCCCGGGAUGCGGAACUUGCGAGUGGGGAGGACGUUGGCCAGGAAUCGGCCGACGGGGAGGGAGGCGACCUGGACGGUGAUCUGCGUGAUCACGAGGGGCUCGGUGCGGUAGGCGAAGAACUGGUUCAGGAACGACAUGAGGGCGCAGGAGACGACGCCGAUGGACCACAUGCGGAAGGUCCACACGGGGAGGGACGGGUCGUCGGUGUUCGCCACCGUCAGCCGCACCUGCUCGAUCGGCGAGAGCUCCUCCUCCUCCUUCUCCUUCUCCUUCUCCUUCUCCUCCUGCUCGACGACGUCGAAGGAGGCGACCGCACGGCAGGGUCGGCGGUCGCCAUUGGGGCUCUACUGCGACUAAUGCUUGUGCUUGGUAAUUAAAUUGGGUGCUGAUCGGGAAUAGCAAUGAUGAAGAGGGAGGAGGAUAUGCUGUUGCGGGAUACGAGGGAGGCAGUUAUAAUUGGCGGGGAGAAGGGGAAUCUCGCGUUGUUAAAAUUACGAGAAUGCCCCUGUGGGAAUAUCUUCGGGGGAAUGGCGUAGCGUAUCGGGACGGUGUUUUUCAGAGCGGCCGCGGAGUGAACGGUUUGAUGCGCCGUCGCCCGUCGACUAAGGAGAAGCGAUCGAGUUUUUCUACUAAUAUAAUAAAAUAUAAUAUAAUAAUAAUAUAAUAAUAUAAUAUAUAAGGCUGUUUUGGUAAUAAGUUAAAAGAGUAUUCUGAAGUGAUGUAUACUAUGCAAAUAAAGUUUAGAAAUUUAAAUCUGGUUUUCAAACUGUUUAAAUUAACGAGCGUCUGCGAGAUACUAAGUCCGGAAAGAUACAUUAAUGUUGCAAUUUCCUUCGGCGGAGACUCUUAAUAAAGUAAAAAUCUACGUAUAUUAUUCUUUUGUUUGAGAGCUGGUUUUAUUUUUACUGGAUUUCAAAUUUGAAAACUCGACUUGGCUACUGAUCAUAUAGUAUUUUGCCAUUUGAGUAUCCAUUUUUCUAAAAAAUAACUUAUAUCGAUAUUUAAUAUGCUGAUAUUUUAUUUUAAAAAAUAACUGAUUGAAGAUGCACUACAAGAUACACAGAUAAAACCAAAAUUUCUAAAAAAUAAGUUAUAUAGAUAUUUAAUUUGCUGAUAUUUUUAUUAAAACAAAUAACUGAUUUAAGAUGUAUACUACAAGAUACUCAAGAUAAAAUCAAAACUAAUAAAAUCCAACUAGACCGACCGUUUCUAGAAUAAGUGGUAAAGGACUUGGUGGUUGGUACCCGAGACCCAAGUUCAAAUCCUAGUUGAUUCAUAUUUUCAGCUACGUUUAAUUAUAAAUAAAAUAAAUGAAGGGAUAACGUGCUACCUAUCUCUAAAAAAAUAAAAUAAAAUAAAAUAAAAUCCAACUAGCAAGGUGAUAAAGUAAUCCUGUUAAAAACUACAACCAGCCACAGCAGCCCUUUUGGCCAGCGUUAGACGGUGGUACUCGGUUUUCCGGAUUCAAAUCCUAGUGUGAGCAAAUAAAAAAAAAAACUACUAAAGGAUUUUAGCUUCAUGCCUUAGAAAAAAGUAAAAGAGCUGUUGAAAAUUAAUUUGUAGUGUUACCAAUCCAGUUCAGUAUAAACUGAAAAGAUACUUUAUACAUAUUGCAUGUUUAGCACUUCACCGCUAGGCUUAGGCUAAAACGAUCCUUCGUCAUUGAUCUUUGAACCACUCUCUCGACUGUGCUAUGUUUCUAACCAUAUAAUUGUAAAUUAGGGGCAGAGCCAAAACUCAUAUGCAGGAUUGGCACACUUGAUGAUUGACAAAAUUUUAAAAUUAUAUUAAAAUUAUUAUUUUGUUCUAUAAUUUAACUACGAGAAAAAAAAAAAAAAGUACAAGUUUCUUUUCUCACUCACUGGUUAGCUAAAACAUUAUAUUUUCAAACAAUUUUAAUUAGGGAGGACACUAAAUAAUAAUUUAUAAUACUUUUUCUUCACCGAUUAGAAGAACAUGCAUAAAAAAACUUCAAGCUAAACCCUCCUGCUUCUCGCCCCUGUUGUAAACUGCUGGCGCACUGUAGGCUUAUCAUGCAAAAAAUAUUCACCUUUGUUUUGAAUUUUUUUUUUUACAAAAAAGAUAACACACUACCCGCUUCAUUCAUUUAGCAAAUAAAUUUGACUACAAGAGUUGAGGCAAUGUGGCCUCGAAAAAUAUUAAAGGUAAACAAAACAGAAAAUACAAAUAAAAGCAAACAGAAAAAGUCGUAGAAAAAUUACUACUUCUACUUGUCACUCAAGAUCAAAUAACUAAAAGCUGCAAAACUCAACCCAUUUUUAAAAAUAUUAGAUAUCGCUACACGGUUUCCCAUUCUUCUUUUCCUAAUAAUAGAUAGAUGCGAUUAAUUGUAGAUCAUAUUGCCAGGGGCCCCAGCGUAGAAUAUGCAUGAACUAUACAUAUACUGAAGUCUCUGAAUGUGAACAUACAUGUGAAUAUGAAAAGAAAAAAAAAGGGUGGAUGGAUGAAGUCAAUAAUGCCCAGUUUUGAAAAAGAAAUGCCGGACAGAUAAUUAAUAAAGCCACAUUGUAAACGCCCACACUGCUGGCAGGCGCCGUCGGGGGAAAGACAGCGACAGGAAAAAUGUCCCAUUUCAAGCUAGAUUAAUAUUCUAUGAGAAAUACCGUUCGUCACUUUGAGUCAGUGGCAAAAAAUUUAGUGGUUAAUAUUCGAGUUCUUGAAUUUAAAUCAUAAUUGAUUCAUAUUUCAAACUAAAUUUAUUUUUAAAUAAAAUAAAUAAAUUGGAUAACUUUCUACCUAAUCUCUUAAAAAAAUAUUUCUAUGAGAAAUUGUUUGGAAUAAUUUUAAGCCUUGGACUAGUUAGAAAUUACAAUGGAUCAUCUAUUAAAAGGCCAAAGGUUUUCAAAUUUUUCUUCCAGAAUUAAAAGGCCAAAAGUUUUUUUUAUUUUUUGAAAGAGAUAGGUAGCACGCUAUCCGCACCGUUUAUUUCAUUUAGAAAUAAACUUAGUUGGAAAUAUGAAUCAACUAGGAUUUAAACUUGGGUCUCGGAUACCAACCGCCAAGUCCUUUGCCACUUGCUCUAGAAACAGUCGGUUCAAAAGAGCAAAGGUUAAGAUUCAAAUGAUCAUUAUAAAGUCGAUCUGUUCAAAUGUCAGGUUGUAAAGUAGUUCGAAUGGCGAGUUUGAAUUUUUCUCUUUUCGUUUGAAUUUUAGAUUAGAAACUAAUAUAUAUAACCGGGCAUGGUUUUUCGUUGUUGCCCAUAAAUUUUAUUUUUUUGAGAGAUAAAUAUCACGCUAUCCGCUUUAUUUAUUUUAUUUAAAAAUAAAUUUAGUUAAAAAUACGAAUCAAUUAGAAUUUGAAUUUGAAAUCUUGGUAUCAACACCAAAUUUGUUAUUAUUAGAUUAGAAUACUUUAUAGGUGGAAAGCAAACAGCUGGGAUCGCGUGAGGAGGGAGCGUCUUAUGCGCUGGAGAUUCAGCUUUGGGAACCGGAAUCUCGGGAAUCCCAAUCAGGCGCCAAAAGGUCGGAGCAGGAUCACGCAACCGCACACACCCCGCCACUCCGGGCCCACCGAUGGUGGGGUCCAUCCCUCUUUUUGCCAGCCGGCGAUCCACCCGUCGCUUUCGGACCCGGAAAGCGACCCGAUCCUGUGUUGGCUGCCGAGUCGAAUCUGCCUAAUGAAAUCCAAGUUAGUUAGAAGGACCACAUCUCUCUUAUAGGAUAACAGUGGGAAAAAAAAAAUAUAAGAAAAAACUUCAAAUACCCCUCAUGUGAUUUCAUUUUUUUUUUUUCACUCUAGUAUUCUGUGAUUUAAAGUAUAUCAAAUUAGUACCUGUGGUUUCGUACUUUCUCACUUUAGUACCAUGUGGUUUAAAGUGUAUCAAGUUAGUACCUUGUGAUUUCGCACUUUCUCACUUUAGUACCCUGUGGUUUAAUAUUUCAUUAAGAAAAAAAUAAAACCACAUGAUACUAACUUGAUACAAAAAUAAAAUCACAGAGUACUAACUUGAUACACUUUAAACCACAGGGUGCUAAAGUGAGAAAGUGCGAAACCAAAGGGUACUAAAAUGAAAAAAUGCGAAACCACAAGGGGGGUUUUUGAAGUUUUCCCAAAAAUUAAAGAUAAAGUUAUAACUUUAAAGAAAAAAAAGUUUUAAAAUUUAUUAAAAAAGUAUUAGAAUAUUUGAUAUAGAAUGAAUGUGAUAAACCCUGUGAUUUCGCACUUUCUCAAUUUUUUUUUAAAAACCCCCCUUAUGAUUUCAUUUUUUUUCAUUUUAGUAUCCUGUGGUUUAAAGUGUAUCAAGUUAGUACCUGUGAUAAUGUGGUUUCGUACUUUCUCACUUUAGUAUCCUGCGGUUUAAAGUGUAUCAAGUUAGUACCCUGUGAUUUCGCACUUUCUCACUUUAGUACCCUGUGGUUUAAUAUUUCAUUAAGAAAAAAUUAAAACCACAUGGUACUAACUUGAUACAAAAAUAAAAUUACAGAAUACUAACUUGAUACAUUUUAAACCACAGGAUACUAAAGUGAGAAAGUGCGAAACCAAAGGGUACUUACUUGAUAUACUUUAAACCAUAUGGUACUAAAAUGAAAAAAUGCAAAACCACAAGGGGGUUUUUGAAGUUUUUCUAAAAAUUAAAGAUAACGUUAUAACUUUAAAGAAAAAAAAAAGUUUUUAAAUUUAUUAAAAAAGUAUUAGAAUAUUUGGUACAGAAUGAAUGUGAUAAACCACCACUUAGUUGAGAUAAUAUGAUAUAUUGUCUAAUCUAAAAAUAUAUAUAUAUUUUUUUUUUGAGGAAAAGGUAGCAUGCUAAUAAUAAAAUUUUAGAAAUAAAAAUUAAACUCCUAACUCUUACCGUUCCUAGAGCAAGUGGCAAAGGGCUUGGUGGUUGGUACCCGAGGUCCCAAAUCGAAUCUAGUUGAUUCACAUUUCCAGCUAAGUUUAUUUCUUAAUAAAAUAAACGGAGUAGGUAGCGUGCUAUCUAUUUCUCAAAAAAAAAACUCUUAAUCGUACAGAAAAAAAAAAGAGGAGAAAUUGUCAUUAUAUAGCUUACUUCGACAUCAAAAUAGGAUCUUAACUAUAGAUAAAUUAUUACAGGAAAGCAAAGGUCUUUCUAUCAAAAACCAAUUUAUUAGAUAUGUUUUAAGAUAUUUUUUAUUUAAAUAAAAAACUAAAUAUCUAUUUUAUUUAAUCAAAUAAUUUUAUUUUUUUUUUAUGUUAUUGUCAGGAUUUAUGUUCCGGAUACAGGUAACAAAUUCUUAAUAAUUCAGUGGCCAAGAUUUAUGUUGAUGCUUAGUCACAAGUAAAAUAAGUUUUUGAAAGCGCUCUUAGUUCGGUUUGACAAAAAGCAUGUCUCCAAAAUAUGAUGUAACUAGAAUUUUACCUCUCCCUAUCAAUUCUUUAAAAUAGUCAGAAAAGAGAAAGACAAAAUACCUCAUAAAAAAGUCAAUAGAUUUGAGAAUGAAUUUGUAAAAACAGAAAUAAAAUUAAAAUAUGUAUCCAGCUUAGAGCAAGCAAGCUCAUGAAAUAUGCUAUAAGGAUUCAAAAAGAUAUCCCGAAACAUAAUUGAUAAGUUAUAUUUUAAAAUUAUCCACAUGCACGGAAACAAAUAGCAAGAUAAAAAAAACAUUUGCAGCACUAGAGUUGACUUGUCAAGUAAACUCUCGAUACCAUUCCCGAGUUAUAUAUCAUUGGUAGUUUUAAUUUUUUAAGACAACCUAGUACCUACAUAACAUUUAAUAGGCUCUAUUAUUUGACAAAAUUAUAAUUCGACUAGUAAGUUAUAAUAAUGGUAGUACAAAUGCAAGUUUGCUGUGGUCCUCGAUCCAUAGUACCAAGUUGUUAUGCAGUCUAAUCAGAAUUGUAAUUUAUGGAAACGUAUUUACGAAAAAGUUGUUCCGCUGUUUAAUCACACGUCUAAUCUAGAAAAGUAUUCAUUUUAUAAGGUAAUAUUGGAGAAUAAGUUAAAAAUUAAUAUUUCAGAAAUAAGUAUAAAUUGAGGUAUAAGCGGGAAUUAGAUUAAUUUUGCGUUUGGAUGAAAAUUGGGUUAUUCCUGGAAAUAAAAAAAAUAACGUUUGAUUAUGUAAGAUGGAAUAAGAAUUAAAUUGGAUAGUUAUAAAUAAAAAAUAAUAAUAUUAUCUCUUUCUUUAUAUUAGAAUUUAAAUUUUCAUAUUUUAUAUUUAUAUUUUAAAAUUUUAAAUUUCAAAAUUUGAAAUUAAAAUUUAAAAUUUAAAAUCUAACUUUAAAUUUAAGAUCAAAUUUAAAUUUUAAAAAANAUUAUAUAAUAUUAUGUAAUAAAAAUAAUAUUUUAAUAAUUAACAUGAUAUAAUUAUGUAUAAUAAAUAUAAAUUUAUAAUAUUAUUUAAGAAAAAUAAUUUAAAUUCAAAUUCAUCUUAAAAUUUUUUAUAAUAUUUAAAUAAUAGUAUUUAAUAAAAAUAAUUAACUAUAUUAUAUUUAUAUAAUUUAUUUUUAAUUUAUUUUAUAAUUUUAAUUAAGUUUAAAUUUAAGAAUUGGAAUAGCACUACUCCACCAAAAUGAUGGAAUAGUAAAAAGCUUGUUAUUUCGGGAUAACCGGGAAUAGCAAACUUUGACCGGGAUAAAAUAUCCUGGUAAAAAAUGACUCCGUUUGGUCUCCGAACCAAAUGGGGCCAAAGUCUAAAAUUUCUUUCAUAAAAUGAUCUAAAAUAUAACUUUCACGAAAUGUCUGAUUUUUUAUAUUACAGAGCUACAUGAUGGUAGAUUGAGAUGUAUUUUCAUUAAUCAGUUACAUUGCCUUCACAAAAAUAACUGGAAUUCUCAUUUUCAGAUAGUAUAGCUUCUUUUAUUCAUGACAUAUGCAUAACAGCUUUCAGUUAUAAGAAUCACAUGCUUUAAAAUAAGAUAAAUAAAUAUAUAUAAAUUUGAAGUUCAAGGUCAAUAUUUUUGACUUGUAUAAGGAGUGCUGCCGGAUUGAAACUGCAUGCACGUGCCAACUGAGAGUGUCGGCAUUCCAGCAGUAAUAGACGAAAAUUUUGGAUUUAGAUUCCAGUCACUAGUACCAGCUGUCUGAGAUGUAAUUUUUAGUUUGGCGGCCUGGAAUAGGAUCGGGCCCCACCGCCCCAGAAUGCCAAGCAACAAAUUGAGAAGUUCUUCUACACUAGGGACCUGUUUGUUUCAACGUAAGUAGACUUGGAGUAGAAGUGGACUUUGGGUUGAAGUGGAAUUGGGAUGAAAAUUAGUUCACUUCUGCUGUUUGUUUCAACGUAACUACGCAUGUGAGCUUUUCUAUGUAAAUUCCUCAAUUUAGAUGGCUCUUUAUUUAAUGUUCGAUCCCUUUCACGUAAUCGUAAAAAGAAUAUUACACACACCACCAUAAUAACAAAUCCAACUUGAUUAGCACGAUGUAAGUUCAAAAGUAAAUCUCUAUUGUCCAUCUGAAACUGAAGAAGAUUCAAAUAAGAAUUAUAAAAAAUUACUAAUAUCUGUGACAAAUAAACUAAACUAAAAGUUUUCUACAUUAAAAAGAAACUUUAUAAUUUUCAUCAUGUGUUAAUAAUCAAAGAACAAACGUGGCAUUAGUGUUAAUAAUCUAAAUCCAAACACAGUUUGUGCAUCAUGUGUUAAUAAUCCAAAUCCAAACACAGUUUGUGCAUUUGAAUACAACAAAACAAAUUUUCUGCUUGACUCUACAUGGUAACAUCAUGUAUACAAAGUUAAACCAUUUCACAAUACAAGGUUAAACCAUUUCACAACACCAUUGCAAAACCAAGAUUGAAAGCUAGAAGAAUCAAUUCUUUUUCCUUCUUUUCUUCUGAUGGAGAAUCAAUACAAUAAUCUGAACAGGAAUCAGCAUCAUGAAAGAAAAAGUUUCCAUAGGAAUUGAAACAAUAGGAUGAAAAAGGACAUAUUCUAAUCCCCCACCCCUACCCACACCCCACCGCACCCCAAAUUUUUUCAUCGGAAAAAAAAAAGCCACCAUCAUCAGAAAUAAAGGGCCAAAAAAUUAGAAAAUGCAGUAAAUAAAAAAACAUGAUUUGGUACAACACUAAUCUUAAAUCUUUAAUAAUCAGAGCAAAAAAAUAAAAAUAGCAGUAAAUUAAAAAAAAAAUUGAAACUGCAGUAAAUAAAAAUGUUAAAAAUUGCAAUAAAAAAAAAAAAACUGCAAUAAAUCAGAGACGAAAAAAUUUAUUUGCAAACCUUGUCAACUGCGAUAGGGAAAGAGAUGGAAAUGGAAUGCGAGAUCUGAGAUCGAAGGAGAUGAAUGGCUAGAGAGAGAAGAAAGGAUUGAAGAAACAAAAUGAGGGAGAAAUUGUUUUUUUUUUGUUUUAUGGGGUCUGCUGAGAAAAAAAAAUGGUGAGAGUUGGGUCGGGAGGAGAGGAAAUGAUAGAGAAUGGAGAGAGUUGGGUCGGGAGGAGAGGAGGAGAAGAGGUAACCCUAACACUCUUGCAUUUUUUCCAGUUCACCGAAUUUGACUUCGCCCUAUGGGAGGGUGAAGUCAAGUUCAUUAGUUUAGGUGAAGUAGACUUACGGGCGUAAUAACAUUACGGUGAACCAAACAACGGAAGUGACCAAUUUUCACCGAAAACUACUUCCCCCUUCCCACUUCCACCGCACUUACGUGCAAACAAACAGACCCUAGAGUUUGAUUUCCAAGGUGUGAUCAGUUCAUGAGCAGUUCUAAAUGUUCCAAUUAAGUAUGUAUGUAUUUAUUAUUAUUAAAAGUAUAAAUAUAUUCCCUGGAGUCGCAGCUUUGUUUUUUUUUAAAAAAAAAAAACAAAACAAAAAGUGAGUAGCUUUCAUACUUUAGAACCCCUCUUUAAACACCUUUUGUGUAUAUUUCAAAAGUCUUAAUUUAAAUUUAAAUACACAUGAAAGCAUGAAAUUCUAUGUUUUCAAAAGUCAAACUACGAGUCUAAAAUUUUUACACAUGAAAGAACAAAAUCUCAUAUUUUUUCUCAAUUUAUGGAUGGAAGUAUGAAAUCCCAUAUUUCAAAGUCAAAAUUUUGAGUCUCAAUUCUAAAUACCUAUGAAAGUACAAAAUCCCGUGUUCAGGAUAAAACUAUCUGUCAUUUUACCAUUGGAUUAUACCCCCAAGGAUAUACAAGUUGUUCAAAAUAAUAUUAUUUUAAAUGAUUUUUUUUAAAUUUAAAGUGCUUGCAUCAGUCUAAGUUGGUGUAAAUUUUGCCAAAUUAUAUCCCAUCUUUAUAGAGAGAGAACUAUCAAUAGCUAAAAUAUUUUGUGCUCAUUUUUCUCUAAAAUUUAUAGAUUUUCUUUUUCAAUUUUAACUGAAAAUAGGAUAUGAAUACAAUUAUUUUAUACAUUCCUAUAAAAAGUUAUCUAACUGGUUUUUUUUUUUUGGAAAAAAAUAUAUUUUUUGAAAUUUCCAAACAAACUCUUCGAAGUAGAAUGGUUUCCCGGAAANUCCUAUAAAAAGUUAUCUAACUGGUUUAUUUUUUUUGGAAAAAAAAAUAUUUUUUGAAAUUUCCAAACAAACCCUUCGAAGUAGAACGGUUUCCCGAAAAGUAUGAAAUCCUUUUUUUUUAAAACCUUUUUAAUACCUUUUUUUAAUUUUUCACAUGUCUGGUUAAAAAAAAAAUAAAAUUUCUCAUAAUUUAUAAAAAAUAGUUUUUAUUUUUUAAAAUUAAAAAUUGAAAAUAUUUUUAUUUACAAAAUAUGAAAAAAUUAUUUUUUAGAACCAAAAAAAUGAAAAAUUAAAAGAAAAAAUUGACCGUCCAUGAUGCAAGUGGCAAAAAAUUUUGCGAUUGAUCCCCGAGUUGCCAAAUUUGAAUCCUAAUUAAUUUAUAUUUUCAGUUAACUCUUUUUUUAAAAAAAUAAACGAAAUGAACAGCAUAGUAUAUUUAUUUCAAAAAAAAAAUUUUGUUGGUCACAUGUCCUACUUAAUAUGACUUAAUCAAUCACGAUUAUAUAGUAAUAUUCAUCAAUCCCAUCUAUAUAUUUAUUUUGUAUUUUUAAUUAUUUCUAUAUAUAGCUUAAUUUAUUUAUAAAACAAUAUUUUUAUUAUAUAUUAUAUUAUUUUAUUAUAUAUAUAUUAUUAAUCAUUUCUAUAUGACUAAUUUGGUGUGAUUAGAGAGCUUUCCUCUUUGGCGAGAACCAAACUUGGGCUACUCACACUGCCAAAAAAGGCGUUCUCGUCAACUCGCAUCUCUAGCCGUCCAAAUUCUAGCCAUCCAAAUCCGUCCCCUCUCCUCUCCACUCCCUCUCGAAUCGCUUGAAGUGGGGCUCCCCUUCGUAAAUCCCAAUUACCUCCCACCAAACCCCCCUCCUCCAGGUCUCCUCCUUCUCCGGCGGCGGCGGCGGCGGCGGCGGCGGCGACAAUGGAGAUCGACGCGGCGCGGAUCCACCGGAAGAAGGCGGCGGCGGAGGACAAGGAGGAGGAGGAGGAGGAGGUGUCGCCGAUCGAGGAGGUGCGGCUGACGGUGACGAACGCGGACGACCCGUCCCUCCCCGUGUGGACGUUCCGCAUGUGGUUCAUCGGCACGCUGGCCUGCGCGCUCAUGUCGUUCCUGAACCAGUUCUUCGCCUACCGCACCGAGCCCCUCAUCAUCACCCAGAUCACCGUCCAGGUCGCCUCCCUCCCCGCCGGCCACUUCCUCGCCCGCGUCCUCCCCUCCUCCAAGUUCCGCAUCCCCGGCCUCGGCCACCGCGAGUUCUCGCUCAACCCGGGGCCCUUCAACAUGAAGGAGCACGUCCUCAUCUCCAUCUUCGCCAAUGCCGGCUACGCCUUCGGCAACGGCAAUCCCGCCUACCCGUCGGCAUCGUCAACAUCAUCAAGGCCUCUACAGGCGCAACCAUUCCUUCCUCGCCGGCUGAGUGCUCAUCAUCACCACUAGGUCUCCCUCUUCCCCCCUUCCACCCCCCCCCCCCCCCCCCCCCCCCCCCCCCGAAUCCCUAUCGAUCGCGAUUAUUUUUCUUUUUUUUUGUCUAUUCCUUUUUUCUUCUUCUUAUUAUUAUUAUUAUUAUUUGGUGGGGGGUUUGAUGAUCUUUAGUUACUGGUGAGGGUUUAUUAUUGUUUGUGGGGUUUUGUUAGGUGUUGGGGUACGGAUGGGCGGGGCUGAUGCGGAAGUACGUGGUGGAGCCGGCGCACAUGUGGUGGCCGAGCACGCUCGUCCAGGUCUCGCUCUUCCGGUAAGUUUUCGAAAUUUUCUUUUCUUUUCUUUUUUCUUUUUUUUUUUGAGCUAACUAUGAAAAUUUUUGAAUGAUUUUCUGUUUUUUUUCCCCCUAAAUUUAGUUUCCUAAUUUUUUUUUGAAAUAUUUAUCAUUGAACACUAAACGGUGCGCUAAUUUUGACAGAUAUUAUCACAUGAUAAGAUUUUGUGCUAAAAAUACCAAAUAUGUAAUUUUCCUCCAAAUGAACAUAUUUUUUACUUAAAAAAUGUUAAAAUAAGAAACAAAAUUUUAAAAUUUUAUCAGAAAAUAAAAGUAAAAAACAAAAACAAAAACAAAAACUAGUUAAAAGUUACGGUAAAUAAUGAUAUUAUUGUCAACUCUCCUUUGUAUUUCUUAUCAGAGCCCGCAUAAAGAUUGCCACUAAGGAUCGUGUGGAAAAUGAUGUUUUAUUGAAAUGUUGAUCGGUAGGAUUUGGAUUGGUAUUAUUUUUCUCCUCGUUGUUGACCCACCCGUGCACCCAGAUGGGGACGGAUGGGAGAAAGGUAGGCGACAGCUAAAAGUUAAUUAACUUUUGGGUUACUUUAGUUAUUAGCAGAGAGAAGAAUAUGGUAUUUUUGUAAAUUAUAAAUGAACUAAAUGGGCAACAAAUUACACAGGCAAAUUUGGGGGCACGAUGAACACUUCCUUUCAAAAUUGUUGAAACCAUCCUUUUAAAAUAAAAAAGAAGAGACAAAAUUUAGUUAGGAAACUCCUGGUGUUCCAUUUUUGUGGAGAAAUACCCGAGAAAAAAUUGGAUGGUGCUUAAUUUCACAAACUCAUAUUGGACCCGACCCUCCAUUACAAGCAAAAUAUUCUACUAAUGAUGGCGCAUUAUGUCUUCCACUACACUCGGGCUAACAAUUAUAAGGGGACAAGAAAGGAGAUACUUGCAUAGUUGUUAGGCCCACCGUACAAACUAAUGAUCUCUCUUAUACAAAAUGAUUGAUUUUGCUUAAUUUUUCCACUUACUAAUACCGAGGUAUUUAAUUAAUCCAAAUUUUUGUAUACACAAAUAAUUUAGUUUUUUGUAGGAUAUAUAUUAUAAAUUUUGCUGGGACAUUUAUGCAUUUGAUAGGAUGGUAAAUUUGGUAUUUAGGUAAAUUACAUUUAAAAGAACAUUUUGCAGCAUUAGGGAAGAAGAGAUACAAUUUUCGAACCUUUUUCACUAUAAAAAGCAAAAUAGUUGGAUCUAUUCUUUUGAGUUAAAACUGGCUAGCUGUUUACUAUCCAUCUUGGAAGAUUCCACUGCCUAUCGCUAGCUGUUUCUAUUCAUCUUAGGAGAUUCUGCUCCCUAAUGCUAGCUGUUUACUAUCACACUAAGGGCUUGUUUGGUUCAUCCAUUUUGGAUAUGAAAUGAGAAUCGGUUUGAUCAAAUUCGAUUAAUUUUGUUUGGUUCGCAGGAAUCGGUUUAGGAUUCCUAUUUCGGACUGGAAUGGAAAUGGCCCAUCAGCCUUCAACUUGAUUCCGGUCUUCUAGCCCGGAUUGACAUUUUAUUCCAGAAACUCACUAAGUUCUCGAGGCCAUGCGACCAUCUCACCAUCCUCUCCUGUAUACGAUCUCUUUACCCCUCUCUCAUCAAAAAAAAAAAAAAAAAAAACCCUAUCCUCUCUUAAAACCCUAUCCCUAACCCACAUCAAUAAAAGUUUUUAAAAAUAAAUUUGAUAUUUUUUUUGAAAAACUUAUUAGAGAAUAGUAUUAUAUUUUUCAUAAAUUUUAAAUAAUAUAAACUUAUAUUUGAGAGUUAAAUUAGUAUUAUAGUAUCCUAUAAUUUUUUAGUUUAUACGAACCAAAUAAUGAAAUGUGAAUAACUCAUUCCAAUUUCCAAUCCACAAAUAAACCAAAUGUCUUGGGGGAGUGAGCCAAUCCAAUUACCAUUCCAAUUCAUUCCCAUUUCAUUAUCCAUUCCAAUUCCACCCUUGAACCAAACAAGCCCUCAAGAGAUUCCGCUGUCUAUUCUUUAUGUUGCUUUCACUUUGGUGACUUUGGUCAUUAAUCAAAGAGGGGUCAUAUUAUACAAGUUUUAUAGGAAUAAGUUAGGUAGUCUUUUUCAUCCUAUUUUCACGUCAAGUUUAUAUAGAAAAUGAUAUAUAGAAAAUGCCUAGCAUGACUUUUCAAGAAAUAGGGAAAACUAACAUGUGGGACAAAUACAACGUAGUGAGAUUGGUUAAAGUUAGGGACAUACUUUCAGCUUCCUCACAAAUAAUUUUCCAAGCAUUGAUAUUGAUAUUCUACCAAUUGUAGAUGGCACGUUAUGUUACCUGUCUAAACUCUUUAGAACUCUUCAAUUACAUAUGCCAACAAAUCAGUAACAUAUAAAAUCACAUUUUGAAUGUAGUCAAUAGUUGGGUAUAGUCCACAACUGAAUUAUUUUCUGAAAUGCUCCGAGCUAAUAAGUUUUCAAAUCCAGUAUCCAGUUAUGGGCUAUUCUUUUGGGCACAUGCUAUGAUACCUAGGCCGUUACUUGAAGAAGAUACGGGAUUAGAAAUUAUUUUGUAGAUCCAGUCUACAAGGUUGUCAUUGGAUUGCGCUGAUGUGAUUAACGAGCUUAUUAUUAUUUUUUUCUUUGUAAUCCAGUCGCUUUGAUGCAUUUUUUGGCAGCUCCAUGGAUGACCUAGUAAAUUAGGUUUAUCCUAGGUUAUCGGAUGUAACUAUUAGCACUUCAAUAUUCUUUCAACAAAAUAAAAGCAUCUGUCAACAGUUGGACAUUGGUUUGGAGCUCUGAUAAUGACAUUAGACUUGUAGAAUUUUGGAGUUCUUUACGUUGCCAUGCGUGCACUUGUCUGUAUAUGCAGUAUUCAAUUUGAAAUGUUCUUUCUGUGACAUAACAAGGUCAACAUGUCAAUAUCUUAAGCUAAAGGUAUUCAUAUCCUGAGAUGCCAAUAUUGCUGGAUAUAUUUUUAUCUUAUAUUAUCAAAACAAAAUUUUAUGAUUUCUUGCACUGGCACAGUAUCUGAAUCUAUAUAGCGAUGAAAACUGAAAUUAUGAGCACUUUUUGUGCUAUUUGGCAUGGAAGACUAACAAAAACAUCUAACUAGCUGAUGUACAUUUUUUUGGGUCUGUAAAUGAUCAACAAACUUCAAAAGGCAACAUCUUACUAGGCUUCAAAUUUACUUAAUACAUGAUAAGCCCACCAUUAAGCACUGGAACUAAAUAUCAGAAAUGUUUUUGAAUUUAUAGGGCCUUGCACGAAAAGGAAGAUCGUCGCAUGUCGCGGGCCAAAUUCUUUGUCAUUGCCAUGAUCUGCAGCUUUGCAUGGUAUGUCGUCCCAGGCUACCUGUUCCCUACACUCACAAGCAUUUCAUGGGUCUGCUGGGCCUUCUCCAAGUCAGUCACAGCCCAGCAACUUGGGUCUGGCAUGAAGGGCCUUGGGAUUGGCGCCUUCACCCUUGACUGGACUGCAGUUGCCUCAUUCCUCUUCAGCCCGCUCGUCUGUCCCUUCUUCGCUAUUGUCAACAUUUUCAUUGGCUAUGUUAUUUUCCUCUAUAUCAUCAUCCCGGUGGCAUACUGGGGCCUCAACUUGUACAGUGCAAAGACCUUCCCGAUAUUCUCCUCUCAUUUGUUCACAGCCAAUGGGGCACCGUAUAAUAUCACCGCAAUCGUGAACAACAAGUUUGAGAUAGAUAUGCAGGCUUACCAGCAGCAGGGGAAGAUACAUCUCAGCAUGUUCUUUGCUCUUUCUUAUGGUCUCAGUUUUGCCACUAUUGCAUCUACUCUCACGCAUGUCGGCUUCUUCUAUGGAAGGUGUGAAUCCAUCUCGAGUGUAAAUGAAAUUUAUGCUUCUAUGAAUCAUUUUAUCUCAUCAAACUGAUACGGAGGAUUGACAACAAAUUGCAACUCGUUAGUUGUUAUGUAUCCUUUGAUCAAGUGUUAGCUUUGAAAUUUCACUUCAUAAUAUUUUGCAAGAAGUUAUUUCAGUAGUUAUAAUUGCAUUUUACCUCAUAAUCUUUUGCAAAUGAGCUUUUACUUUGCAAUCUUCUUUUAAUUUGCGUUGUGCUUCAUACUUGUAUGUAUAUAAUUGUUCAGGGAGAUCUACGAUCGUUUCCGUGUUUCGUAUAAAGGAAAACCCGACAUUCAUACAAAAUUAAUGAGGAAAUAUGAGGACAUACCCGGGUGGUGGUUUCACUUGUUGCUAGUAGCAACAGUUAUAGUGUCCCUAAUACUCUGCACUGUGUUGAAGGACCAAGUUCAGCUUCCAUGGUGGGGCCUUCUCUUCUCCUGUGCUGUGGCCUUUGUGUUUACUCUUCCUAUCAGCAUAAUCACUGCAACUACGAACCAGGUAAUACAUGCCUCUAGCCAUUUUUGAUGAAUAGUUUUAAGUAAGAGAUGUCACUAACCAUUUCUUUCUUUUUGUAUGAAAAAACAAAUAAACAAACAAUAAAUUAAAGACGCCUGGACUGAACGUGAUAACGGAAUACAUUAUGGGUUUGAUAAUGCCGGGGAAGCCCAUUGCCAACGUGUGCUUCAAAGUAUACGGCUACAUGAGCAUGUCUCAAGCCGUCUCCUUCCUUGCUGACUUCAAGCUCGGCCACUACAUGAAAAUCCCCCCCAAGUCCAUGUUCCUUGUGCAGGUAGUCUAAAACUCCUUUCCAAUUGAAACCUCUACAUAGAGUUAUUUUCAUCUUAUCAUUUGUUUUUCUAUUUGUAUCAGUUCGUCGGCACCAUAAUCGCUGGCACUAUCAACCUCGGCGUUGCGUGGUGGCUGCUCGAAUCCAUCACGAACAUAUGCCAAGACAACCUGCUCCCGCCGGACAGCCCGUGGACGUGCCCUGGAGACCGCGUUUUCUUUGACGCCUCCGUCAUCUGGGGACUGGUUGGCCCGCGACGCAUCUUUGGCCCGCUUGGCAGCUACGGCGCCCUUAACUGGUUCUUCCUUGGCGGUGCCAUUGGUCCGGUCAUUGUUUGGAUCUUCCACAAGAUCUUUCCUAAACAAUCAUGGAUUCCGUUGAUAAACCUCCCUGUGCUCAUCGGCGCGACGGCUAGUAUGCCCCCCGCCACCGCGCUCAACUACAACGCAUGGGUGGCGGUCGGGACGGUGUUCAACUACUUUGUGUUUAGGUACAAGAAGAAGUGGUGGGAGAGGUACAAUUACAUCCUUUCAGCGGCGAUGGAUGCCGGGGUGGCGUUCAUGGGGGUGCUUUUGUACUUUUCGCUGUCGAUGGAGAACAAAGGAAUUGAUUGGUGGGGGACGGCCGGUGAGCACUGCGAGCUUGCGAGUUGCCCGACUGCGAAAGGAGUGCAGUCGGACAACCCGAAUUGCCCCGUAUUCUGAUUCUUCCAAAUAGAGGGUACAACUGAAUCCUUCUCUAGCUAGUUUAUAAUUCCGUGUUAUUCUUAGUUGGUUUAUAAAGGUUUCUGAUCAGUUAUUUAGUAUAACCCAAAUUGGCCGGGGCCUGAUGUUUAUGUAUAUGAUUGGGACCGCAAAAGAAAAGCAUAAUGUUUAUAUCUUAGAAUUACUUCGUGUUGCAAAAUGUAAGAAAUUUAAUCGAGUCACCGAGUAUUAACUAUUAAUUUGGAAUGCAUAAUUAUUCUUACUAUAACUAGUAAACGAAUGAAGCUGCAGAUUAAUUUCAUUUUAAACCUAGUUUGGGGGAUAGUUACAUCUUUUUUCUUUGUGUGGAAAUGUAUUUAUUUUAUUUUUCAAAACUCUAUAAUUAUAUAAUCAAGAACUGCCUUUUUUUAGUAAAAUGCCCAUCAGUUUUAACCUUUGUUUUUUUAAAAAAGCAGCAGAUCAAUUGAAAACACUCACGAAGCCCACAAUGUGGGACUCGGUUCUUGCUUGGGCCUUAUAUUUGUGCUGGACCUCAAGGAGCCAACAAGCUGAACCCGGCCUAAGCUCGAACAGCUUGUGGCUAUUAUUUCCACCUCUACCAUAGAGUGUUGUAGACCGCGGAGAAAUAGAGUAAGAUUCAACCAAACACCAUCUAUAAGCACCUCACACUUUAAUUUCUUCUUGUCCUACUUUUUCAAUACAUAAAUAGCUGCAACUCAUUAGACGGUUUGUGAUUGGCGCGUCAGUUACAACUUACAACUGGAGGUUGAUUGGUGGGCGGUGCCCGGGUGUUAAAGAUGCGGAUCAGAGAAACCAUCUUCAGCCCAAAUACUGGUCAGGUCCGAUCAGAAAUUACCCCACCAUCGUAUUGGGCUACACAAAGCACGUAAUAUAGUGUGCAUCGGCGAUGGAGCCUGACGGACGAUUCAUGCUGAAAUUUGCCUUUACAGUAUUGAGUGAUGAGGGCAUGAGGAAUUUGGAGACUUCAAAUAUUCCUAAAAGUGAAAGUGUUUUCUGGCUCCUCAAAAAGAGGCCUCUUACACGGUAAUACAGCUCUUGUGUCACUGUGUUGUGUGGGAUUGAAGAGAAUUUGGAAGAGAACGAUGAUCUUGGAGAGUGUUCAAUCUAGAGAUUUGGAAGAUGACGUAAAUUUGUUCUAGGAUAGGUGGAUGGUUAGGAAUGGAACGCAAUCAAAGAGUACAGGGCUAAUUGGACUAGUAGUCUGCUGGUGGGUUACUUGGGAGGUCAGAAACUAUGCGACUUUUAGGAAGGGUCAGUCGGACCCCAUUCUAGCAGUUUACAAAAUUAAUUAGUUGAUGAACCUAUGGGACUAAUUUCUCUCGGCAAAUAGACACUUCUGUAAUCGGUAGCAUUGCUCUUCUCUGAGACCUAUGAUGCCUCAUUCCUGUAGCUUAGCUCAUUAUUCUAAUGAAUGAAGUGGUUAGCGUACCAUCUUUUUCUCAAAAAAAUAAAAACAUGUAAUGUGUUCAUCCUACAAAUUGGGCUAAAGGGAGCCCAAGAUAUCAAUAUUGAGCCGAAGAAAUUGUUUUUUUGUUUUUUUGUUUUUUUUGAGAGAUAGGUAACACGUUACCCGCUCCGUUUAUUUCAAUUAGAAAUAAAUUUAGCUAAAAAUGUGAAUUAACUAGGAUUCGAAUUUAAAAUCUCGGAUAUCAACCAUCAAACCUUUUAUCACUUAUUAUAGGGCAGUCCGUGAAGAAAUUGUUAUAUCUGGCCCAUUCUUAUCCAGAAUUCGAGUAGGAUAUGCGCCAGAUCUUUCCCGUGACUUGAGCCGAACGUAACGCAAUCCGGUACCAAUAUCAACCAUCAAACCUUUUGUCACUUACUACAGGGCAGUCCGCGAAGAAAUUGUUAUAUCUGGCCCAUUCUCAUCCAGAAUCCGAGUAGGAUAUGCGCCAGAUCUUUCCCGUGACUUGAGCCGAACGUAACGCAAUCCGGUACCAAUAUCAACCAUCAAACCUUUUGUCACUUACUACAGGGCAGUCCGCGAAGAAAUUGUUAUAUCUGGCCCAUUCUCAUCCAGAAUCCGAGUAGGAUAUGCGCCAGAUCUUUCCCGUGACUUGAGCCGAACGUAACGCAAUCCGGUACCAAUAUCAACCAUCAAACCUUUUGUCACUUACUACAGGGCAGUCCGCGAAGAAAUUGUUAUAUCUGGCCCAUUCUCAUCCAGAAUCCGAGUAGGAUAUGCGCCAGAUCUUUCCCGUGACUUGAGCCGAACGUAACGCAAUCCGGUACCAAUAUCAACCAUCAAACCUUUUGUCACUUACUACAGGGCAGUCCGCGAAGAAAUUGUUAUAUCUGGCCCAUUCUCAUCCAGAAUCCGAGUAGGAUAUGCGCCAGAUCUUUCCCGUGACUUGAGCCGAACGUAACGCAAUCCGGUACCAAUAUCAACCAUCAAACCUUUUGUCACUUACUACAGGGCAGUCCGCGAAGAAAUUGUUAUAUCUGGCCCAUUCUCAUCCAGAAUCCGAGUAGGAUAUGCGCCAGAUCUUUCCCGUGACUUGAGCCGAACGUAACGCAAUCCGGUACCAAUAUCAACCAUCAAACCUUUUGUCACUUACUACAGGGCAGUCCGCGAAGAAAUUGUUAUAUCUGGCCCAUUCUCAUCCAGAAUCCGAGUAGGAUAUGCGCCAGAUCUUUCCCGUGACUUGAGCCGAACGUAACGCAAUCCGGUACCAAUAUCAACCAUCAAACCUUUUGUCACUUACUACAGGGCAGUCCGCGAAGAAAUUAUUAUAUCUGGCCCAUUCUCAUCCAGAAUCCGAGUAGGAUAUGCGCCAGAUCUUUUCCGUGACUUGAGCCGAACGUAACGCAAUCCGGUACCAAUAUCAACCAUUAAACCUUUUGUCACUUACUACAGGGCAGUCCACGAAGAAAUUGUUAUAUCUGGUCCAUUCUCAUCCAGAAUCCGAGUAGGAUAUGCACCAGAUCUUUUCCGGCGCAGAUCUUUUUCGUGACUUGAGCCGAACGUAACGCAAUCCGGUACCAGCCCGAAAUCAAAUCGAUAUGGGGGAAAAGAAACGAAUCUCGACCGUCCUUUCAACCGGAUCGGAACUUCUUUUUUCCCUAUAAAUACACGCUCAAACCCUUGUAAAUAAACGCAGCACACGUACCCUACUACUAUCUCUUUCUCUCUUCAUCGUUCUCUCUCUCUCUCGCCUCGUUCACAAAUCUCUCGCAAUUCUCAAGCUCUUGAAAGGUAUUUUGUUCCUCUUCUGAUCUCAAGAUCCUUGAUAGAUGGAGAUCUAGAGUUCUUCUGUUCUCCGAUCUAUGAGUUCUUCUUCUUUUUUUUUGUUUAUAUGUUUAAUUUGUUGUUUCCUUCAUCUGAUAUUGAUAAUACCAAGUAAUAGUACGAUUGCUGUGUCUAAUAAUGUAUCUAGGUAUUGUUUAUUGUUCGUUUCUCCUUUUGCUCUCGUGCUUUUAAUGCUAUUUAUUUCUGAGAAUUUGGAAUCUGUCGUGUGUGGUUUGCGAUCAUCUGUUUAUUAUCGCGAGUUGUUUGUAUGAUUUCGGAAAAUUGUAUAUUUUUUGUAUGAUUUAGGAUGUUUUGUUCGGCAUUGAUGUGUUGAUCCUAGAUUCUUUUUGUAAUAAUUCUAUCUUUCGUAUGGUUUUUUCAACAUUAAUGAUCUUUACUGUGUUAGAUUAUCCGUAAUUUUCUUGCUAUUUGGAAUGAGAUAUUUAAGUCAAGUAAGGUUUUCUCUAUGAUGCCUAUAUAUGCAAGUCUUGGUGUAGGACCUUAUGUGAUUGAAAUUUGGUCUUGUUUAAUGGUUCUUAAAUGCGUUGCUCCGCUUUUCCUAUUGAUUAGAACAUUACUGGCUAUUUUUUGUGCUUAAGAUCAAGAGACCAUAUGGUACAAGAAAAGUUGUUGUGGAUUUUUAAGCCGACUGAUCCUGUUAUUCAUCCUUCUUUCUAAUUAUUGUAAUCUGUUGAUAUCUUACGAUAGCACGAAAGAAUUAAACUUAUGAUGGAUUUCUCUUUUUCGGAUAUUUAAUUUUUGAUUGUUACUGUGCAAUAUUUAUUUUGUUCGUAGCAGAUGCAGAUCUUCGUGAAGACUCUCACCGGCAAGACCAUCACUUUGGAGGUUGAGAGCUCCGACACAAUUGAAAAUGUGAAGUCGAAGAUCCAGGACAAGGAGGGCAUUCCUCCGGACCAGCAGAGGCUUAUCUUUGCUGGUAAACAACUCGAGGACGGCCGCACACUCUCAGAGUACAACAUCCAAAAGGAGUCAACCCUCCACCUCGUCCUUCGCCUCAGAGGCGGUAUGCAAAUCUUUGUAAAGACUCUCACCGGAAAGACCAUCACCUUGGAGGUUGAGAGCUCCGACACGAUCGAAAACGUCAAGGCCAAGAUCCAGGACAAGGAGGGCAUCCCCUCGGAUCAGCAAAGGCUCAUCUUUGCAGGCAAACAACUCGAGGACGGUCACACUCUGUCGGACUACAAUGUUCAGAAAGAAUCAACCCUUCACCUCGUCCUACGUCUGAGAGGUGGCAUGCAGAUUUUUGUCAAGACCCUUACCGGAAAGACCAUAACUCUGGAGGUUGAGACCUCUGAUACAAUUGAGAACGUCAAGGCAAAAAUUCAGGACAAGGAAGGCAUCCCCUCAGACCAGCAGAGGCUCAUCUUUGCUGGCAAGCAACUCGAGGACGGGAGAACUCUGUCCGAUUACAAUGUUCAGAAAGAAUCAACUCUCCAUCUUGUUCUCCGUUUGAGAGGGGGGAUGCAGAUUUUUGUGAAGACCCUCACUGGAAAGACCAUCACUCUCGAGGUUGAGAGCUCUGACACAAUUGAAAACCUGAAGGGUAAAAUUCAAGACAAAGAAGGAAUCCUUCCCGAUCAGCAGCGGCUCAUAUUUGCUGGGAAGCAAUUGGAGGAUGGCCGGACCUUAUCAGAGUACAACAUCCAAAAGGAGUCCACCCUUCAUUUGGUUCUUCGCCUCCGCGGUGGAAUGCAGAUUUUUGUGAAGACUGUAACUGGGAAGAGCAUCACUCUCGAGGUGGAGAGCUCGGACACCGUAGAAAAUGUCAAAUACAAGAUUCAGGAUAAGGAGGGUAUCCCCUGGUUUCAGCAGAGGCUCAUCUUUGCUGGGAAACAGCUGCAGGAUGGACGCACCUUGUCGGACUAUAAUGUUCAGAAGGAGUCUACUCUUCAUCUUGUCCUGCGCCUUCGUGGUGGUGGUUGUGCUGGUUUCUGAGUGUAGAUGAAUGGGUUUCUUAAAUUCUUUCUGUUAAGGUCAUGGUGUCUCUGAUCUUAGAUUCUCAGGCUGAUGAAACUAUAGCUGGUUAUGGUGUUCUGUGGGACCAUUAUGUGGUACUGCUUUCUUUAGAUUUGGACUUGGGUAUUCUCAUAAUAAAUUCUGUUUUCCAGUUUUUUCUGGUUUAAGAAUUUAAAAUUAGUUAAGUUUAUUUUUCUGACUAUGUCGAAUGACAUGACAAUGCUUUUGCUGUGUAGUUUUUUUAAACUUCCACCUACUUUCAGCUUUUUUGAGUAUUUGAUGGGUGCUAGCAUAGCUCUGACUUGCAUGCUCUGCUCAUUUUGAAGAAACCAUCUGAAGUUAAUGAUGAAGUUCUGAUAAUAUGAACUAUGGUUGUGGUGCUCUGUUGUUUUUCUUAUUUUACCUAAUUUUGUUUAUACUUUCGAAACUUGCAAUCUACUGACAACUGAUAGCGCUUAAACUGCUUAUCUAGAGUAUUCUUUAACAUAUAUUGCAGGGCUUUAUUUGUGUAGUUUGCAAAUUCUAAGGUUUAUAUGCAUGAAUGUGAUCUAUGGGAUCUUUCCUGCAAUUUAGUAGUCUUCAAAUUCUUUUGCUUGAUGUUUGCUCAGAAACCGCUCCCUUCCUUGUAUUGAAUCCAGAAAACAAAUUAGUAAACUGCCCCCUUCCUUGUAUUGAAUCCAGAAAACAAAUUAGUAAACUGCCCCCUUCCUUGUAUUGAAUCCAGAAAACAAAUUAGUAAACUGCCCCCUUCCUUGUAUUGAAUCCAGAAAACAAAUUAGUAAACUGCCCCCUUCCUUGUAUUGAAUCCAGAAAACAAAUUAGUAAAUUGCUCCAUUGUAUUAAAUUCAGGAAACAAAUUAGUAGUCAAAAUGAUGAAGAAACAAAAGAUUUUCCAGGAUAAUUCUGUCAGUAAAGGCUCCUUUUGCAAUACAUACCCCUUGUCCCUGCAGGUAUACUGAUUUAACAUAGCUUUAUGAUUAAUACUUACCUGCCAUGCGUGCCAGCAACUAUAGGAAAGACUUGGGAAUCACGAAGGUGCAAUGUCCCAAUACAUUGAAGAUCCCGCUAUUCACACACCUUUGAUAGUUUAAAUAUUCAGGUGCUGGCCAAGCUUUACUGCUGCAUCUCUUUGAUUUAGUUUCAAAAGCUAACUGAUGAGCUGAUCUUCUACUAAGAGGCUGCUAAUCUUCAUCCGUUUCGCCGUACGUUGUCGGUGCUGUGUGGGUACUAGGGCAUAUAUAACCUCAAGAAGAAGAAGAUAAAAUACAACAUCUCGAGUCUCAAUAUAUCAGCCUCAGACCAAUCAGCUGUUAUAUUCGAAACAAGUAGUAGGAAUGCUACAUCAUAUAUUUAGGCCGAACAGUUGUUCUGAAAUCUCUUCGACUUGCUCGCCUUUUGACUAUAGAGGUUCACAUUUAUAUUAAGUUAGCUCUCUCAGAACCCUAGAUACUGUAUAUUUUGUUUUCCGCUAGCAUUCACUUUGUUGAUUGCAAAGUGAUGAACAUCAGGUUCCAAAAGCACUUGUCUGUGCCUCGUGAAAUUCUGUACCAGUUCGUUUUCUAUUCUAAUUUACUUGUGUUUUUUGGUACUUGGCUCGGCACGGUUGGAGAAUUCACAGGAUGAUUAUGACAAAUGUUGGAGAAUUUAUUUUCAAAACCAAACACCCUUAUAAACUGGCAGGGUAAUGGAGCGAGCACAGAUGGUUCUCAUGCCACGUUCUUGAAUACAACUCUAUGGCCGCAGGGGCACGAUAAACAAUCACAGCCAGAUUCCAUAAAUGUUCUUCCAGAAUAUAUUUGAUACAUGGUGUGAAAUGAAAGAAUUAUGCGAAGGAAAAAAAAAAAGAAAAAGAAAAAAGGGGUCACAGUGCAUGUAUCAUUUACAUUUUAAUCCUUCUCUCACCUAUUCCAAUCACUACUAAACCAGUGGAUGGAAAUCAUGCUGAUGCUGCAUGCUAAGAUGAAUAUUUGAGGGUGAACAGUAUCUGAAUGCCACGGUGUAAGGGCGAGUGAAUGCAAAGUCAAGGUGCUUGCUUUUCUGUCAAAUGUAGUAGGAAAUGAAGUGCAGUUUAAUCUGAUAACCAUGUUCUAUGUCUGAGUGGCAUUUCCUGAAAUGACUACUAAGGUGAAGCGGAUCGAGGUGAUCCAAGAGGACAGAGUCAUGCAUCUGAGAUGAAUAAACCAUGCUGGAGCUCAACUUGUGGUGAGCUUGUUCGUGUAUAAGGCGGUUGAUCCAAGCACUGCUCCUCACCGGAGUGCCAGGUCUGUAGAGAGGGUGCUGCCAUGGAUGGUAGCCGCUCACACUCGCUAGGCUGUGACAAGCCCACCUUGGUUGCCGAAGAGUCCAAGUACUGCUCUAUGCCAAAUGAUAGGUUUCUUAAGCUCCGUGCUUUCCGAAGUUGUGAGUGUUCAAUGCCCUUCUUCACGUGCAGCAGCGGCAGCUGCUGAUGCUCCGUCUCAUGCUUCCGUAGUAGCAUUUGUCUUUCUGCUAGGAAGGUCUCACAUCUCUUCUUGUCCAUUUCAAAUGUAGCCUGAGGGUUGCUGUCCCUCAUCUCCAGUUUAGCUGCAGCCAUGUUAUUUGAAAUUAAACACUGUAAUUCGAGGCUGAGAAAUGUCUUUCUCUUCUUCAGAUGAUCUUCGGUAAUAAAGGUAACCCCCCCAAAAAAAAAAAAUAGCUUAUCACUUUUGAGUUCUUUAUGUAUGACCUGACAUUCUCCUCGGCAGUAGCCAAUUGAGAUGUUGCAUACUCGCAGUUUUUUGUACUCCCUUCUUUACGAACAAAUACGUUCUUAAGUAGUAAUACGAAUGCUAUCAGUCUCAUAUACAAUGCAGAGAAGGAAUCCCUCCACAUUGGCCUGAUUCUCAAGAUUGUUAGUUACUACAUAGAAGAUCGCAAAGGAUUUUCUGUAAUGGCAGUGGCGUCAUUAGAAAUGAGAUAGGUAUAUUAGAUGCACCAUGACUUAAUCCUGCUUCGAAGAAAUAUUCACCUAAUUUAUCCUAUAUCAUUAGCAAGUUUGGUGUCAGUCUCUCUGUCUCUGAUUUUGAUCCACAACAAUUACUUGUUCAAGAUUCAACAAGACACAAAAAACCAUUAACUGGAAAGGGGCAAUAACUGAAGUACGUACUACGUAGUGGUUUGCAUUUAUCCUAAUUGUUCCCAAAAUUGCUAUAGAGACAUGGUUAUUAUAUUGUAGGAAGAUCUCAUAAUACAGAGAAAAGUAACGAGAAAAAAAAAAAGAAGAUGUAAACUUACCGUCAGUUCGGUCAGAUUCCCAGCUAAACAGCCAAACACUGUAGCGCUCGAAAUCAUACAUUGGCUUUCGAAGCUCAAGAAGCGGCUCUGCUACAGCCCGAACAAAGCGUUGAGGCCGCGUUCUACCCAGAGAUCAAAAGAAUUACAUACACCCCACGUAGAAUCAUCACUCUGUGCUUCGUAAACAAAUUAAAUCCAAAAAAGGCAAACGAAAAAAUAGAAGUACAUAAACAGAUUCGACUCUCCUCGAUUGAGGAAAUCUCAAUUGGGUUUUAAUAUUGUUGUGCAAUGCGAUCUGAUCUUAAGGAAACCAUCAUAAUGCGUCCCGGAGAAAAACCCAAGAAUAAAGAGAGCAAAAAAGAUCGAAUCAUGAUGGCAUGCAUAUGAGAGAGAAGAGACGCGGAGAAGAGAUAAGAGCUAAUUAGGAAGAAGAAGAUGAUGAAGAAGCAUGAAAAACAACCCAAUAUCAUCUCUCUGAGCCGCGCCUCGCUCUCUUACUCUGCCUCUCUCGCUCCUUCCUUUCAUAUCUCUCUCUCUUUCUCUCUCUCUCUCUCUCUCUCUCUCUCUCGUGUAAUAGAUGGAGGGUCAAACCGUUAUUUCUGUUACUCUCUGCAAAAACAGUUAUUUCCGUUUAGUCCCGCGCAUUACAUAACUAACCCGGACCGGCCCAGCCCGGCCUACAAUACAUGGAAGCUACGGCAAAUUUAAGCCCACCACAUGUUAUUCAUACUAGUCCUUUUUUUGUUUUUUUUUUUAUGAAAUUUCAGGAGGGAGAACGAAACAACCGGACCGUACUUAAUUAACAUUCUUGACUAAAAGCUCACCGUUUGAUGUCAGAGAUUUCAAAUUUGAAAUCUAGUUACUUUAUAUUUAUACUUAAGUUUAUUUUCUAGAAAAAAAAAGAACGAAGCUGACAGCUAACGCAAUUGCCUAAAAAUUUAAUAGUUCAUAAUCACGGUUGAAGCGAAUAACUUGUUAUCAUUAUCUCAAAAAAAAAAAAAGAAAAGAAAAAGAAAACAAAGAGAGAGGAGAAAACAAAGGACUGCUGUACGUAACUGUUUUUGUUUAUUUAAUGAAAGAAAGUAAAUUAGAAGUGGCGAGGUAAAAUUCCACAAGAAUAAUUUUCUCUCUAAUGAACAUGAACAUGAACAUAAACAUAAAACCACCAAUUAAAAAGGCCCCAUUUCUAAGGUCCCCAAUUCAAAGAUAAUUGAUUAGUACAUAGAAGCUACUUUUUUUGAGGAGUGGUCAUCGAUAUCACGAGCACGAGAAAAGGAAUCCUCCAAGUGACUUAAUAGCUGGCAACAACUAAGCUCGAAUAGCUAACCACCACCACCACCACCACCACCACCACCCCCCUCUAAACUCCACACAAGUCCCCAAAUACAAAAGAAAUGUACGUGGGAUGUCAUUGUUCAAAUAUGCAUAUAUGUAUAGCUUUACCUCACCAUCCAAGGCACUGAGGAGGCAUCCAUGACCCCACGCACACUUACCUGCUGCUCAUAUUAAUAGCAUAGUGGUUGACACUUGAGAGUUCACAUUGUAGCCCUAUAUAUCCCACCUCGCAUGGGGCUGGGGCAAGCGCAUACAAAAGAAUAAACCUUUCUUAGGAAGCUUUUCAACAAUAUUUCUUAAUAAGGUUUUGAUUCGUAUUAAUUUUGUUUUCAUGUAGAUAAUAAUAAUUCAUUAGAAAUUUUUAAGUUUUAAAAUUUAAAAAGAAUUUUAAAUACUAGAGAAAGAAAUUGUAAUUUUGGUUAAAAAAAAAGGUGGCAUGUGGCGAUAGAUUUGGACACCUAAACGCUUCGUUGAAGAGAUUUUCACUAAAUUUUUUUCCUGUGUAUAAAAGUUAGUUGUUAUUACUGGUGGUGUGUUCCAUUAUGUUCUCUAAUUGUAAUCUAAAGAGUACAUUUGGCAUAAAUUGUUCUUCCUUUAAAUAUUUCAUGGGAGCUGCAUCCCAUGUGAAAGUAAAACUCCGUUUGCAUUCAAUGUUAUUCCGCUUCUGACUCUCCUACCGCCCAUUAAAACAGGGCUAUAUAUUAAUAUAUAUACAAAUUAAGGACAGCAAAACAACAAAGCAUAUUGAUCAAGCAAUCCAUUAAUUACAUCCACCAAAAUAUUUUGAAUGCGCAGAAGAAAUGAGAGAGUCCACAUUGACGAAGAAAAUGAACAAAUAAUUAAUAAUCCCUGUUUAUUUAAUAAUUACACAAAAGAAUCCACCAGAAAUUACAAAAACUGUGAAUCUAACCAACCAAUCAUCAUCUUUACAUGGACCGAACACAUACAUUAUUCCGCCACCCAAAAGAAUGAAUAAAUAUUGAAUCACAAACCCUACACAAUUAAACUACACAAGAGAAAAAGAAUCCCCCGCUAAUCCUACCGAUCACAUGCAUCCUCUGUCAUCCCCUCACACUCAAUAUAUGUAUACAAUAAUAAUAAUAAUAAUAAUACGAAGAACCAUAUAUAUAUAUAUAUAUAUACACACGUACGUAGUGGUUGUAAUUAAAUUAAGCCAUCAUUCACUGUAUAAUAGAAGAGCGGGUAAACCCAGGAAUGAUAUGAUAUUAUGUUUAAACGAAUAAUUACGCGUCGGCCUGGCGCUUGGCCCCGGGCCGGCGCUUGUUGGAGCGGCGGCGGCGCAUGGCGACGAACUUGGACUCGCCCCAGUCCCAGAAUCUCUCCUGCUCCGGCGGGGAGUUUUUGCACUCCGGGAACGUGGCAGCGUAGCGGACGGCGUCAUAGCAGACGGUGUAGGUCAUGUAGCGCUCCCUGAACCGGCGCAUGGCGGCGCGCUUCUGCGGCGUGACGACGGCGUAGUCGGCGGUCAUGAGCUCGAGCUCGGCGUCGGCACAGUGCUCCGCAGCGGCGGAGGAGGGAUCGAGCUGGAUGGCGGAGUCGGCGCGGCAGCCGCGCAGGACGAGGUCGGAGAAUUCGGCGACGAAGGGGGCGUACUUGUAGCUGACCUUGUACUUGCCCCCGUCGGUGGCCCAUGUGGAGCCGUCCCAGAUGGUGGCGUACACCGACAUCGGCUUCGACGGGUAGUCGCCGCCCAUCGCCUCGCUCCGGACGACUUCUCUUAUCGGCACGUCGUCCACGUAGAAUCUACAUGAUAGUACAAUCGAAACGGAGCUUAAUUAAAUUAAAUUAAAUUAAAUUAAAUUAAAUUGUGGUCCACUAUUAGUAAUAAUAUAUAUAUAACUGAACAUUCACAAUUCACAAAAUUUCAGAACAAUCCGCUGUUUCGCAUUGGUUGGGAUUCGAAUAAUCUCGUACCAUAUAUGCAUCAACCAGAAAAAUACCAAAACAAAAAAGGUUAUAAUUUCUAGCGCAGAAAUUUAGAAUUCACUAUCUAUUAAUUACCUCUCUAUCUAAACCAGGCAUGUUAAUUAGGUUUGGCUGCAACUUUCGCACAAUAUAUAGGAACACCCACCCAAAUUGCUGCAGCCUAAUUAAACAGAGGCUCAAACACUUAUUUUGGCUUAUGUCAAAACAGGCGUCUUUAUAUUUCUCCAAAACAAAAAAAAAGAAAAAGAAAAAGGAAAAAGAAAAUGUACGCCCAAAAGUCAUGCAUAAAUCUUGUUAAUUGUAUCCUUCCGUCCAAAAAUACAAAUAUUUUUUUUAAUAAUUUAUGAUAAAAUUAAUAAGGCUAGUGUAAAAAAUGUAAUGUCCGGAUGAAAGGUAUAUAAGAUAUACAUCCAAAUAGUAUUGCUCUAUCUCAAAUUCUUUAAAUUCUGCCUACAAUUCUUGUUCUGUGGCGGCUUAAAUUUUCUGUGAGCAGCAAACGAAGAUAGAAAUAUAGCAAGAAAAUAAAUAAAUAAAUAAAUAUGUAUAGUAGUAAAUUACAUGAUGUAGUUAGGGGUCCAGAGGAUGGAGUAGCGGUGAGCCUCCUCGGUGGGGUCGAAGNUUAGAAUUCACUAUCUAUUAAUUACCUCUCUAUCUAAACCAGGCAUGUUAAUUAGGUUUGGCUGCAACUUUCGCACAAUCUAUAGGAACACCCACCCAAAUUGCUGCAGUCUAAUUAAACAGAGGCUCGGAUGAAAGGUAUAUAAGAUAUACAUCCAAAUAGUAUUGCUCUAUCUCAAAUUCUUUAAAUUCUGCCUAUGAUUCUUCCCUAAGGGUACGUUUGGUUCGAAUUAUCCUGACAGGAUUACAGGCAAUCCUGCCAGGAUAACUGUGUUUGGUUAAUCCGCUAUGUAAUCUAGUCGUUAAUGUAGCAUUACAAAUCGAGCAGGAUUACAUCGAAAAUAUUAACGGGAGGGAGGUCGUGUAUCUUGCAUUACUGAAACCCGUUAAUACUAUAUAUUAUUUAAAAUGACAAUUUUACCCUCCAACAACCCCAAAUCUAAUUAACAAUAUUAUUUUCAUCUCUCUCUCGCCUUCCCCCUCUCUUUCGCACGCCGCUUUCUCUCCCUCUCGAUGUCUCUCUAUCUCUCUCUCUUUCUCUCUCUCGCACGAACACCUAUCAUUUUCUAUUGCGUCGUCCUCCCAGGUAAUCAUCACGAUCUCUUUCCCUCCAUUCGUCAUUUUCGCAAAAAAUAAUAUUCAAAUGACCACAACAAGGGCAAUUUUGGAAAAACUAUACUUUUAUGUCAGGAUUACUAAAUUUUAUAAACUGAACCAAAAGUAUUAAUGCUAUAAACACUGUAAUCUAGUAUUACAUUACUGCAUUAAACCAAACGCGCUAAUGCAGCAUCAGUAGUAAUCUCACGCCGAAAUCCAAAAUAUCUAGAUAUGUUGAGAUACUUUGUAAUAUUACAUAACUCGAACCAAACGGGCCCUAAAAGGAUAUUAUUUUAAUUUCGAAAGUUAUAAACUGUUAUUAUCCAAAAUGGAGUUACGCCAAAAGUACACAGAGAUGUAUCAUAACUAUUUUAUUACAAUACGCCGAAAAUAAUAUUUUGUUUAAAAAUAGGCAUGGUAUUUUUCAUCAUACUUUUCCACUGCACGUAAAUAGAGCUUUAAUUAUACAAAAGUAAAUAACAAUAAUAAAAUAAUCCAUCGGAGGGANCCAUAUCCGAAUCCAUAUCCGUCGGGUUUCUAUUUUUGAUAUCCAUAUCCGAAUCCAUAUCCAUAUCCACCGGAUAUAUCCGUUUCAUUCGGGUUCGGAUUCGGAUAAAAUUUCGGGUAUUCAUACCCAUUGACAUCCCUAGGCAUGAGAGGUCUGGAUCAGUACUCAAGUGUAAAGAAAGUGUUGUUGGGCAUAAAGAACACUACAAUUCUUGUUCUCUGGCGGCUUAAAUUUUCUGUGAGCAGCAAACAAAGAUAGAAAUAUAACAAGAAAAUAAAUAAAUAAAUAUGUAUAGUAGUAAAUUACAUGAUGUAGUUAGGGGUCCAGAGGAUGGAGUAGCGGUGAGCCUCCUCGGUGGGGUCGAAGGGGAGGAGGUAGCGCUCCUCGCGGCCGCGGCUGGUGCUUCCGUUGCCGUAAACGUUGGUCUGCACCCUCCACUCCUUCCCCCGGGUGUUCCCCAGGAACUCGAAAUCCAGCUCAUCGUGGUUCUUCUCGAACACGUCCCCGUUCGAUAACUGCAACAUCAUCAUUCAUUCAUUUAUUAAUUAAUUAAUUGAUUAAGUUAGUAACUGAACCCCCAGAACGUUAAUUUAAUCUCCCUUAACCCACAUAAGCAAUUCAUUGAUUGAUUAAUACUCGUACGAUUAUUUUAUUUAUUUUUAAAUAAUAUUAUUUAGUUUACAUGUUAAUAAAUUAAAAAUUAAUUACGCGGAACUAACAUGGCAGCGAAUAUUCUACGCCGCAGCCAUUGGCACUACCACACACCCAUGUGCCCAUUACUAGUAGUUGUAUUCUCGCGGCUUAUAAGAAAAAAAAGAAAAAAAAAAAGAAGACGAAGAAGAAGAAGAAGAAGAAGAAGAAGAUGAUAACGCGGCUCAUGAAACGGACCAUCCUGGCUUCUACUUGAUUAACGCAUGAAUCUUAUUACGCGGACUACGCGUAAUAACUCAGUUAAUUAAAAACUGCAACAGUUACGUAUGGAAACAUUUUGGGAGUGAGAAAAACAGGGCAAACUAGUCAAUUUCUCCAUUCAUUUAUUUGUUUAAAUUUUUUUUUAAAAAAAAAAGAGAGGAGAAACUACUACUCUAGUUUGUGAGAGCUCACGUAGAAGGCGACGACGACGCCGGCGGUGUAACCGGCGGGGAGCUUGAUGGAGGCGCUGAAGAAUCCGUGGAGGUACGAAUCCGACGAUAUGAAUCCCGACCCUAAACCCAAAUUAUUAAACCCAAAAAAGCAAAUUAGAACGCGAACGGCGCACGAUAGAUGAGAGAGGAAGGAGAAGGAGGGGAGGGCGCAGGUUUAUAGAACAACACCUGAGUAGCGGUUGAGCAUGAUGCGGACGCUCCGGCCGUCGGGGGACCGGACGAGAUUGCCCUCGCCGAAGAGCUGUGAGUAUCCCUCGUCGAACGGGAUCGCCGGGACGUCGAAGGCCGCGGCGGCGACGGCGACGAGCAGCGCCGUUAGCACGAAGACGACGGAAUCCACCAUGGCCGUUUCCUUCGCUCCGCUUCUCUGCUUCCUCGAUCUCUCUAGGGUUUCUAGAUGAUGAUGAUGAUGAUGAUGAAUUGAUGAUGACUCCUCUCUUUCCCUCUCUCUCUCUCUCCCUCUCUAUAUAUACUCUGUUGUGUUUCUAGACGACUCUUUGCGUUUGCUUUAUAAAUAAGAAAGGAGGGGAGCGGACGCGGAGAGGGAGAGGAGGUUACGAAAGGGUUUUUUUUUUUUUUUUUUUUUUCUUUUCUUUAAAGGCAUUUUUUUUUAGGUUUUUUAAAAACUUAUUUUUCAUAAUAAUGCGAGAAUGAAAUAGAUGGAGUGGGCGGUUUGGGUGGCUGAUCUGGCGGCUAACGUUAUCAAAAGGAGGAAUUCUACACUGUCACACUUGCAUCACAUCAUCAAUAACAAGCCAAUCACAUUCCUUCUUUUUAAAUAAAAGUACAAUAAAAAUACUUUUUUAUAAUCAUGAUGGGACAUAUAUUCUUAAAAGGAUUAAUUUGAUUGGUUUGUUACGCCACGUCACUAAUAUACCCGUUGCAUUCUAGAAUUUUUCUAUCAAAAGGGUGGAAGUGAAAUGGCGGCCUACUGGUUUUGGAUAUUUAUGACUCGCCACUUUCGAUCUUUAUUUUUAAGGGAGAAAAAAAAAAGUAUUUAUAUUCAUUAAUUAGUUUAUUAGAUUCAAGCAAUCAAUCUACUUGCCUCAAAUUUUUCUAAAUAAAUUUUGUAAUUCACUAGAUUUAAAAUCUCUAUUCUUACUUCAACUAAAUUAUAGCAACACUGCUUGUCUCCAACGUAAGUGUCAAAAAAUUUAAUGAUUGAUAUCUGAGAUCGUAAAUUCGAAACCUAAUUAUUUAAAAAAAAUUUAAAUCGUAACAGCAAUCAUGCAUUGAGAAGGUGAAUAAAUUAUUUUAAAAAAUAUUCAGUUCAAAUGAAAAAAUAAAAGAAAAUCGUGUAUUUUUAAUAAAAAAGUUUAUAUAAUAAUAAAUAAGUGAGCCAAAAUUUGAAAAGGAUGUGAAGUGUUUCAGUUUUAUUUUAUUAUUAUUUAUUUUUUAGCUGUGAAAAUGAAAGGGGCACUGGAGAUCCAGUGCGCGUUACGUCGAAUGCCGUGGCGAUGUCGCGGUGGAGAAAUGGAGAAAGUGAUGUGAAGCUGCACUAGCGGUGCGGCGAGUCCAAUUUUUUUGACUCACCUUUUCUUUGUCCCGAAAUUACCCUUUGGAGAAGCAUCGUGGGGGCGGCGACUUCAGCAUGGUUUUCGUUGUAAUUUUGCGGAAGGUGCAGGGGCAGAUUCGUCAUUUGGAUGGUUAAAGCGAGUGGCCAAUUAAGUCGUUUCCGCCACAAAGUAUGACCGCGUCCGACAACGACGGCGGUGGACGAAUGCCACGUUAUUAGUGUUGGUCUUCUUUUUAUUUGCUAGACUAGAAGACUAGACUAGUAUAUUAAUAAUUGGUGCAAACGCCUACUCCACUUUAUCUUUUUUUUCUUUUUCAAAUAGAUUCAAAAUUUUUUAAUUUUAACAAUCCAAUUAAAUGCUCUAAAUUUUAAAACAAAAUUAUACAUAAUUUAUCUAAAUUAUAAAUUAUUUUGAAUUAAGCAUAUAUCCGAUCUUUUAAAAUUUUAAUUUUACUAGCUAAUCUUGUAAUUUAUUUUAUUUAAGUCAGACAACGACACUUUCAUUUUUAAAUUUAAAUUAAUUAUUUAUUUAAUAAAUUUAUAGUUGUAAGUAUCGUAUGAAAUAUGCAAACUAUAUAAAUAUGUAAAGACAAAAGACACGUUCAAAUUUUGAAAUAAAAGUGUCGUAGAUUGACUCUAAACCAAAUAAUAUUGAGUAGCUGGAUAGUAAAAUCAAAAUUUUGAAAGACUGAAUAGUUUAUAGUUUAAAUAAGUUUUGUACGUUUUUACUAAAUUUUACUAAAUAUCUCUCUUCAAAUGAAGUUACUUAUUAAUGUAUAUUCGUUUUAUGCAAAUGAAGUUACUUAAUGUACGUAUACUCGUUUUAUUUGCAUGUCUAAUGAAUAAUUUUAUAAAAUUUUAAAAUGCAAGAUUUUUUUUAAAAAAAUCUUAAUAAUUAAGUAGGAAUAAGCAACUUAAUUUUAUAAGGUUAUCUUAAUUUGCAAAAUCAUUAAGUCCAUAUAUUUCCAUUUGAUUAAUUGUCAUAAACUUCUAGCUAGGUACAUCAUUCUUUGAAUAUUUUUCAAGAGUGAUUGAGAUAGUAAACCAAACCUCCAACAGGUGUCAUUGUCACUAUUAUUGUAACAACUGCUACGUUUAUCUUUUUUUCCAGUUGUUGCUAUCAAUCAAAUGGCCUUAAGCAUAAUCUUUAGCGAGUGCUGUACGAAUCAACCUUUUUUUAAAAAAAAUUUUCUUUUGAGGGUACAAAUGUACAAAGGAGCAUAAUCUUUUGGCAAAUUAUAGCUUAACUUGAUUCAUAUAUAUAAUGACAUUUUAUGCUAAUAAUUCUUGCGUAUGAUUAGUUGGAAUAGAAACUAAGUCGGCAGGUAUAUGUUUGCAGUGAAAAAAUAAAGUUGGUGGGUCAAAUACAAUUUGGACAAGAACUUCUUUUGUUUGGAAGGAUUGAUCCUCUACUGUUUGAUCGAUUCCAAUUAAUCAUAAGUUGUGAAAUGGACUAAAAUUCAUUAAUUGUAGGGUCACGGGGCAUCCAAAAGCAUUGUUGUUGAACACAUGAAUCACGGCCGCACGCUACUUCUCACGCGUAAUUUGUAUCACCGAAAAGGAAAAAUUAAUAAAAAGAAUAGAGGACAGAAAAAGACUAUUCGUCAAAGUUGGGACAUUUGAUCACUUCCUUUCUUCGUCUAAAAUGAGGUCGAAUUUUUGUGCGCUGNGAUAAUUUUAGCUAAAAUUUCCGUGUGGCGUGUUGUGAAAGCGGAAACAAGGGGCGGACAAAAAGCAUCCAAUCCAGUAAACAGGAGUGGGUCCCACGAAGAAUUUUUGCCAACAGUGAUAAAUGCGGUGGAAUACAUGCGUGUUUGUAUAUAUAUAUAUAUAUAUAUAUAUAUAUAUAUAUAUAUAUAUAUAUGGUCUCUAAUUAAAUGUUUCUAUUUAAUUUUUAAACGCUGCAUGUGAGGGACAACCAUGAAAUUCAGUAAUUCUUUUACUUAAUUUAAUUCAUAUUAAUUAAUCGUGGCUUAAUUACGAGGCAACCCAAUGCAUUUUAUGUGGCAGGACUAAUUAAUCCUAGGCUUUUUUCAAUUAAACCUAUAUAUUCAUUCAGUAACAUAAUAUUAGAGUCGGUCUUAUACUCUCUCUAACAUCCAUACUGUUAAUUAGAUCCAUUCGGUCUUAAUCCAAUGCAUUUUAUUUUUUUACUUUUAUAUAUUUAUGUAUUUAUAUUUUUUUCAUGUAACUUUUGAUUCAUUCGAGGUCCCGCUACCUCAACAUUUAUAUUAAAAUUUAUUUUUCAAAUAAAUGAAACAAGUAGUGUGCUAUCUUUAUCUUAAAAAAAAAAUUCAUACUGUGCAUGUGAGUAGAAACAUAAUUUUAUAUAUACUAGUCAGUGCACGUGCGUUGCACGUAUAGAUUUUUCUAAUAUAAUUAAAUAAAUUAAUAAAUUAGUGAAUAAAUAAUAUUAUAUUUNUUUGUACUUCGUACUUCAAGUGCCCUAUUUAUUUAAAGAAAAAAAAUCCAGCCAUAAACAAAUUAAAUAUCUUACAUUUUUUUUUCUCUCUCUUACUUCUUUUUCAUUCAUUAUUUUUGAGAAAUCGGGUGAGAUUGAUCCAAAGCAUAUAAUAAACUGGGGUUAAUUUCAGAUAGGUUCAUGUAAAUAUAAUGAAUAAUAAAUAUAUCUCUAAAAAGUUUAAUUUUUAUAUAUUAUCAAUACAAAAAUUCUAAUAUUUUUAAAUAUAUCUUUCCGAUUUGCUAUCGUUAGAAAAUCAUUAAAAAACUGUUUAUAUUUUCAAUUUUACCAUCACAAAUUAUCUCUGCAAAAAUUAUAAUAGUAUAAUAUAAUAGGGGUAAAAAUGUCAAAAACUUACUCAAAGUCGGUGUUCGUACUGAUCUGAGAUUGGGGAGUUCGAGAAUUUUUUUUUGCUGAAGGUCUGGGAGUUGAAAAUACCAUCGAUCCGAAGUUAAAAUUUUUAUUUAGUUAGCACUUAAGAAAUGCCUACCUAUAAUUGACAGCUUACUCAAAGAGUCUGAUUCGAAAAUCAACAGUGCGUGAUGUGCGGCAACAAUUUAGAGACUGUUGAUAAUCUGCCAGUCAGAUGCGUAUCAACAUAUUUCUAGGACCUAGGAUGGAAAUCAAAAGUGUUUUGGGAGCUUCUGACCGGGGACCGUAGCCAAGAGGCAGCAGCAAGGGAUUUAAUUAGGGUCGCAAUCUGUUUGUGAAUGAUUUGACGGAUAAAAAUAAUAUUAUUUUUAGGGGCCAAUAAUUUGAUCAUUUUUGAGUAUUAGACGAAUAUAGGACGUGAGUAGGCCGAAUAGACCGAGUUUUACAACUUUUAGUAUAUUGGUUUUAAGUGAGGAGUAGAAGUAUGAAUUUUUUAUGAAUAUUUAUUUUAGUUUUUAUUUGUCUUUUUCUUUUUUGGUUGCUUUAAAUGUUUUUCGAGGCCGCAUUGCCUCAACCUGCUAAAUAAAUAAAGCGGGUAGCGUACUAUCUUUCUCUAAAAAAAAAAAAAAAAAAUUAACUAAAGUUAAGUAUUUAAUUUAUAGUUAACUAAAUUUUUCUAACCGAUUCUAACGACAUGAACAUGUUUGAAGACAUUUGGACUUUUGUAGGGACAAUAUAUGAAAGUUAAAUUUUGUAAGAAUAUAUUUAUCAUUUAUCAUAUAUCAUAUUUGUAGAGACCUGUAUAAAAUUAACCCAUAAAACUAAUAAACACAAUUUAUGAAUAUGUAUAUAUUUGGUUAAUUAGCAAGGUAUAUGAUAAUAAUUUUUCUACGCUGAUUUUAUAAAAGUAAAUUUUUAUGGACCCUUGUGAUUAAGUCAUAUGUAGUUGCCGACACAAUCUUUAUCAAUAAUAAUUAAGGAUUAGGGAUGAUAAUAAUUAUUAAUGAAGUUAGAAGAGUCGUAGCUUACGCGACCGCUUUGUUAUAUUUAUUUAUACUAGUCAGUGCACGUGCGUUGCACGUAUAGAUUUUUCUAAUAUAAUUAAAUAAAUUAAUAAAUUAGUUAAUAAAUAAUAUUAUAUUUAAAUAGUAAUGUCAGAUUUAAAAAUUAUAAAAUAUUACAAACUAUAAGCAAAAUACUGGAUAGAAAAUAUAGUAAAAUAAAAACGUAAAUUUGAACAUCCAUACAUGGAAAUAGUUUAGAUUAAAAUGAAGUAAUAAAAGAAGAUUUAAAUUCAUUCUAAUUUUAUUGUCUUAGUUGUCGUCAUCGAUGAUCUUUUUUUUUUUUGAAAGCGAGAAAACUUUGACUCGAUGAUAUUCAUCACUGAUGCUUCGUCAUCGUCUUCAAGAAUUUUUCGAUGAGUAUAAUUUAGAGGAAAAAAAUCUUACUUAUUGAUUCAAAUUUAUAUUUUUUAUUUUGCUAUAUUUUCUAUAUAUAAUACUUAUGUGUAUUUUGUUUAUAGUUUGUAAUAUUUUAUAUGGGUACCUCUCAAUUGAGUUAUGAAAUUUUGUUAGAAAAGAAAAAACAAUUAUUAGUUGAACAAAUAAAACUUUCGAUUGUAUUCCUAGAAAUAUCAACGGUCAGGAUGUAACCAUUUGUUGUUAUUACAAAAUAAAUGUCAAGUACUAAAGCAAAAGUUUUUUUAAAAUAACAAGAUAAAAGUGAUAAUUAAUUACGGCUAAAUUACAGAAAAAUUUUUGUCAAAAUUCGAUUUUUCACAUUCCCCCCGUCAUUUAAAAAUCUACACUUUGCUAUCUUGUAAAAUAAAAAAUGUUCACUUCACUCCCUGCCAUUAGUGAUCCGUUAGGAAUCCGUUUAUAAAAUAUUAUUAUAUAUUUUUUAUGCCAAAAAUGUCCUCAGCCUUCUCUCCUGUUGACAAAAAUGAUGAGAGGCAAAAUGGUCAUUUUGUUAUCACAGUUUAUACCGUACCCCCUAUGACUAUUUUUUAUUUUACAAGGGGGCAAAGUAUAAGUUUUUAAAUUACAGAGGAAAAAAAUAAAAAAUCAAAUUUUGACAAGAAAGUUUUAUGUAAUUUAGCCAUUAAUUAAUUAUUUUAUAUCAUAUUUUAGAGAAGAUAAUUAAUUUACAAAGUGAAAGCAAGUUAUUAUGCAACUAAUUCAUCAAAUCAUCGAAAAAUAUGAAAGUAAAUUAAAAAGAUUACUACAAGUACCAAUUUUAUCGUAUACAACUCACUCAAAUAUAAGUAAAUAAUCAAUUCAAAAAAAAUACAUAUGAACAAAAAAAUUUUAAAAAAAUAAUUUUAUAAAAUUAACUGUUCAGUAAGUGUAUGAAGACCAAUUAAAUAAAUAUCACCAAAUUGAUUAAAAUUCACAUAAUAUUCAGGAUAUUUUCUUCUAAUAGUUCUUUUCUCUUCAAAUUCAAGUUCUAAUUGAUGUCAUUGUCUAUGGCAACUUAUAUAGAAAAAAAUAGAGAAAUAAUAAAAAUAAAUAAUUUAUAAAUAUUUAAUAAUUAUUAAUUGCAUUUAUUUAAAGUGUAUACUUUUUUAUUCAACCUCUUUAUUUUUUUAAGAAACCUCUUUCUUUCUUGGACAAAAUAUAUCUCCUCAACCUCUUCGUUUCUUCGAAAAAUCUCUUCGUUUUUUAGAAAAGAUACCUUUUCGUCAAAACUUUUAACUCUUCAUUUCUUGGAGGAACUUUUUCGUAUCUUGGAGAAGAUACAUCUUGAUCCUUCACACCACAUUUAUCGGAUGCUAAGACGAUGAAGAAAUCAAAUAUUAAAUUUUUUAUUUCUUUAUUAAUUAAAAAAAUUCUAAUAUUUUUGUUUGUAGAAGAAAAUAUUUAAAUCUCCAUUUCUCCGAUGCUUUAAAGAUAAAAGGAUUGCACAUCAUUUUUUUCUUUCUCUACUAAUUGAAGAAACAAUAAACUAUUCAUUUCUAUGAGCACAUACAUUUUUUGGGCACCACCUUCCUUAAUGUACAGAAGAAUAAAGUUCGUUGAACCAUAUAUAUAAAGCACAAUCAUUCUAAUUUAUAAAUUUAAAAUUACAAUUUAAACCUCUAUAAUAUAUGCUAUUAGAAAAAACUAUUUACAAAAAUUAUAUUUUUUAAAAAAAUUAUUUUAAAAUUUAAAAUUAAAUAUAAACUAUUUACUAUUUUUUUUUAAUAUUGGCUUAUAGAGAAUAUCAUACACAAGAUGAAUACUCUUUUCAAUAAAUCAUUUGCUUCCUAUCAAUAAUAGAGGAUGGAAAAUGCCCACAACAUCAACCAUGAGCUAAUAAACUUUAUCUAUUAGAAUUUAAAUUUAAAUCCAAACAAUCAAAUAAAUUAUGUUUAUCUAUUUUGUGAUUUUGCAUUUUAAAUUUUACAUCACUGAUUUUUAAAGGUUAACUCUGGUACACUACAUUUUUUUUUUAGUUUCCUCAGCGAAAUUCGCACUGUAAUUUAUGAGUUUAUUCGAAUAAAAUCACAAUUUUAU
rnacentral:lncRNA from 1 species